rnacentral:lncRNA from 1 species
CUGUUUCUCAAAUAUAUAAUAAGAAAAAUUUGUUGAUUGAAAUUUUGAGCUCAAUGAGUAACAGUAAGAGGGAUACAUACAUGAAAAAGGAGGAAGAAAGCUUGGUUGAAGAUCUUUACAAAAACUUAAAAGGAAGGCGAUACCUCAUUGUGGUAGAUGAUAUAUGGGAUAUCAUUGUGUGGAGUGAUUUGAAAAGAUGUUUUCCAGAUGACGGAAUUGGAAGCAGAAUCUUAUUCACUACUCGAAAUAAAGAAGUGAGUUUGAAAGCUUCACCUCGUAGUGUCAUAAAUGAACUUCCUUUUCUGUCGGAAGUUGAGUGUUGGGAAAUAUUACAAGGGAAAGUGUUCCAAGAUAGAAAAUGUCCUCAGGAAUUGGUAGACAUUGGCAAGCUAAUUGCAAAAAACUGUCAUGGCCUACCACUUGCAGUGGUCGUAAUAUCUGGAGUUCUUGCAAACAUGGAGAAGAAAAAACACUUGUGGAAAAAAAUUGCAAAAAAUUUAAGUUCACAUAUAUCUGAAAUACCAGAGAAGUGCAUCCAAACAUUGCAACUUAGCUACAACCAUCUACCAAUGCAUUUGAAACCAUGUUUUCUUUACUUAGGAGCAUUCAGAGAAGACACAAAUAUCCCUGUACGAAAGUUGAUAUCUCUCUGGGUUGCCGAAGGAUUUAUAAAGAAGGAAGAACAUAAGAACAUAGAGGACGUGGCACGAGAAUAUCUAAUGAAACUAAUUGAUAGGAGCCUAGUACUCGUUGCUGAAAGAAGAUAUGAUGGAGGAGUCAAAACAUGCAAGAUUCAUGAUCUAUUGCGUGAAAUGUGCUUGAGCAUAGCUGAAGAAAAUAACUUUUUGAAGUUGAUCAAAGAGUAAGUUCAAUGUUUCUCUUCUAUUUCCUUUCCUUUCUGUCCAUUUUUUUUUUUUUUUUUUUUUUUUUAUUAAAAAAAAAAAAAAAAAACAAAAAAUUGUCCAUUUUUUUUUUUUUUUUUUUAGCUUACUAAGAAUGGUUAUUAUAUUUGAUGAUCGUAAACAAUGAUAUGGUUAUGUUGUUUUGUUACCAGUAAUGAUGAUGAUGAACAACGGUUGUUCAGUCAAGUAUCAACGUAUCAGCGGCACCAUCGUCUGAGUAUCAACUGUGCAAAAUAUCCUAGCUCGCUACCUGUUGGCCUACAUGUACGCUCUCUUCUAUUUGAUUUGGAUUUUAUGAGCUCCAUCAAAUUAAUCUCAUGCAGCUACAAAGUUCUUAGGGUCUUUUGUGGAUGGUCACUGUAUGAUUUUCUAAUAGGAUUUGAAUAUCUGGUUCACUUGAGGUACUUGGAAAUUUCAUGUACACUGCCACCAAUGGAAAACUUCCGCAAAUUAGAAUUUCUUGUUGUGUACAAUGAUGAUGAAAUUGAAAUACCUGAGAUCCUUCUUAAUAUGGUGAGUUUGAGACACAUGGAGUUUAACGGUGGUGCAUACUUCAGUGAAUCUAGCCGUCAGCUAGCAACUAACAGUAAGAGCUUCCAAAUAAAUAACCUACAAAGUAUUUCUGCACUCUCAAUUUAUGAUGAAAUGGAUGAGAAAAUUUUGAGAAGUUCACCCAACCUUCGCAGAGUACAAGUUAGCAUUGAGAAUUUAUUAAAUUGUUCCUUCAACUUCCUUUAUCAGCUCGAAUCACUGAAGCUAUCAACAGAAUACAAUACGCUUUAUUGGCGUUCCAGUCUGAUCAGUUUGCCCUUAAAUCUAAAAAAAUUAACUCUAGUUUGUGUAUAUCUGUCUCGAAAACAAAUGGAGAUAAUUGCAAGAUUGCCAUGCCUUGAGGUUCUCAAAUUAGUAUCUGCUGCCUUUGAGGGAGAACAAUGGGACACAAGUGAAAGUGAAUUCCCUCAACUUAAAUACUUGAAACUUUGUGGUGUAAAAAUUGCAGAAUGGAAUGCCUCAAGUGAUAAUUUCCCAAGGCUUCAACGAAUAGUAUUGGAAUAUUGCGAGAAUCUAAAGAUGAUCCCUUCUAAUUUAGGUGAUAUUCCAACAUUACAGAAGAUUGAGUUAUUUAUGUGUGGUCAAACUGCAAAUGAAUCAGCUAAGAAAAUUGAGGAAGAACAAAAGGAGAUGGGGAAUGAAAAGUUUGAAGUCACAAUCUCUAACACAUUCGAUGAUAUUGAAGCCAUUCUCUCACCCAUUUCCCCGCAGGAGAUGAAGGAAUUCUACGGGAGCGAAAUUCAGAAGGUACAAAUGAAGGAGAAUCUCUCCAUUAAUUCUCUUUCACGUUCUCAUCUUAGUGUUGUUAUACUAGAAUGAAACAUCAAAUAAAUUUUUGGCUAAUAUUGAAAUUAAUGGAUUAAAAUCAUAUUUUUAGUAGAUUUUCAUGAAGUUUGAUAAAAUGUGUGAUUAAAAAGUUAAUAAAAGUUACAAGUCUCAUAAAAUGUGUGAUUGAAAAUAAGUUUGGGAAAAAAAUGAGUUACAAAAAAUUGGGGCCAAACAGGAGCUAAGGUUGGCUCUACUCUAUGAGCCUCUUAAUGUCAUUCUAAGAAUUACUAGCCCAUAAGGUUCUAUGUUUUUGGCAUUGAUUCUCUAUUAUUUCAGCUUUUCAUAUUUUUCUACUAUAUAAUCGUGUUUACAUAAAAUCACAAUGAUCACAUUUUCACUUCUAGUUCAAUUAAGUCCUCGAAAGAAUUUGUUUAUUUAGCCUAAGUCGCCCAUUAAUUGCAUAGGCAGUCCUUCAAUGUCCAAACUUGAUACCUUAGUCCUUGAUUCCAAAUUCCAUCUAACUUCCAUCCAUCUUGGUCAAAUAUCGCCCCUUUUUAUUCUUUCUUGUUCAAUACUGAUUUUUUUCCUAAAAUAAUCAAUAAACACACAGAAUUAAGUUUUCUAGCUCAUAGUGAUCUUGCAAAAAAGCUGACUGUGUUGAAAUAAAGGUGUACCCAUUAGUUUACAAGCUUGUAACAUUGGCGUUAAUUCUUUCAGAAGUCCAUUCUCGGUGAUUGAGAUUUUCAAGAAUCGAUUGCAUAAUUGGAAAGGAGAUCAAUGGUUGAGCGACACUUUGAUGGCGUAUAUUGAGAACGAUGCAUUUGCCACUAUUGAUAAUGAUGUAAUUAUACUAUGUUUUCAAUGUAUUAAAAUUUGUAUGCGGCAGUUAUAGUAAUGUAUUGACUUAUUUUCGUUAAUAUAUUGUUUUUUUAGAAAAAAAUUGUAUCUUAAUUUUUGAUCCUACAAUGAAAAUUGUGUGGCUCCGCCAAUGUUAUUAGGCUUGAUUAAAACAAUUAUCUUUGGUGGAAAAAUCAACUUCUGAAUGUUAUAAUGGCUAGUGGAUUAGAGGGUUUUAUUGAUGGUACAUAUACUUUCCCCCCACAGUAAGCAGCACAUAUACUUUCCCCCCACAGUAAGCAGCAUGGCAGAGGUUUAAUAGGCUUGUAACGAGUUUGAUUUACAACUCACUAAGGAAUUAUGGCUUCAGUAGUGAGUGGAUUUGAUUACUGCUGAUGAUAUCUGGACUUCGGGUCGAAAUUUUUAUUAACUUUUCAGAAUUAUGACUUCAAGCUCUUAAUUUCCAAUCUCUUGUUGUUCUUAGUUCUUACAGAAUUUGAUUCACAAAUUCUUAAGAAUGCUUGCUCAGACCCUCUGCCAGAGAACUUUCCCGAUCAAUAAUUUGGUCAGGAGUUCUUGUUUGUCCACCCACCAUCACCAUGUAGUCGGCCAUUUUGCCCUGCACCAAAGAAGCAUACGAAUCAGUUCAAACUCCUUUACCCGAGCAGAGCUCUGUUUUGAGACUUUCGCUGAGGUUUCUCUGUUUUAUUAGAAUCCAAAAUCCAGCAUCCUUCCAUAUUUUCCUCGCAUCUGGGAACCAAAAUAAAGCACGUGCAACAGUGAAAUCUCUAAGUGAUUAACAUAGGAGAAGCCAUUGUAAUUCUUCUUCAAAUAAAGUCAAAAGAUUGUUGGUUAAGGGAUUCCUUCAAAUAUAAUAGAAGAAGAGAGAUGGCAGAUUUUCAUGUAUAUCAAAUUGAAACAGAAAUCUCUACAUAUGGAUGUUAGUACGCCUUUCCAAAGCGUUACAAAUCUAUUCAUGAUUACAAUCCUAUAAUGGUGGCUGCUGGGUUUAUAUAGUACACACAAAAGACGAGGGAAAAGAGAGGCUGGAAGAGAAGAAAAUAAACGGCGGCUGCUGUAGAAGAAAGUUGACUGUGGGUGUGGAUUUGACGCAUGUUUUUUUUUUUUUUUUUUUUUUUUUUUUUUUUAAUUUAGUACAAAUUGUGAAUUGCUCUAAACUAUAUUUUGGGUACUCCAAAGGUGUAGUAUUUCACAAGUUCCAUCAAAGUGAUGGUUAGUGAUGAGAUUAUUUCUUGUCCUUGGAGAUUGAUUAUUGUGGUAUUUUCCAAUUUGUUGACAAUUCAAAUUUUGGGACAUAAACUUAAAUAUUAUAAUCUAUAUUUAUUGUAGUGGAUUUGGCCAGAGUUGCCCCUUGGUUUUUUCAUGUACACUGGAGGGUUUUUUCCACGUAAAAUUUUGGUGUUGCUUUCUCUAGUUUUUUGCUUUGAGUAUUUACUUUCAUAUUUAAUCACUGUAGUUAAUUGCUUGAAUUGUUUAAUUUAUUCUUGCAAUAAAUGAAAUUGUCCAACACCUUGGUCCUUCUCACUUUUCAGAUUGCUGCAUUUUUCAGUAAUUGCUACUUGCUAAACGAUAGGAUAAUCAAUAAUCUGUGAGUUUGUAAUUCCUUUGUUAGCUAAACAUCAUUCCUAAAUUCAUGGACGUGCCGCCGUAUAGCAUUUUCUUUGUAUAUAUUCAAUAAUACUAAAUAAAAAGAUUCAAGCUUCCCUUCUUAAUUUCUGUUCGAAUUUUUAAUUUGCUAUAUAUAUGCAUAUAUUUCCAGAAGCAGCUAAGUUAAUACGAAACAAAUAGAAAAAGAAAAUUUUAUUAUUCAAAAAUCUUUCACCCUAUCUAUCCUCAAAGUUCAAAACAGGAGGGGGUGUUUCUCCUUUUUCAGUAUUAUUAUGCAAUUGACUCUUCGUGUAAAGAGUUGAUAGAACUGAUUGACUCAAAAAGAUAAUAUAUAUGGAGGUACCAACAAUAAAUGACAACGUCAUUAUAGUUGAUGACGUAAAAUAAGUAUAACUUUACUGAAAUAAAUGACGGGCAUCAUUUUUUACCGCUAUAUCAUCGACUUCCAAGUGACAGAAUUAGACUAAGAGCAUCUAAGCAUCUGAAUUCCUGAACCCACCAUUCUUUCAAAAGAUUUUUGAUAGGUCAAGUUUGAAUAAAGUUCAUUUCUAUUCAUCAAAUUAAACUACUAGCUCUAUCACAUUUAUCGACCUUUAGUUCAUUCUUAUAGACAUACUCCAUAAGUAUUAGUUAACAUAGUAGGCCAAAAUUGUAGAUUACGUACUUGUCCAUGUAAAUUGAUUUAUCAUAUGAUCUUUUAAUUGUCCACCUCAACUCCUCCAGUAAUUUGUCUUGAAUGUCCAAUAUUUUAAAAGCAUUAAAGCGUCCUUUGUGAUAUCCAAGUUCGAACAAGUAGCUAUAGACAUGUCUUCGAUGUGAUAUUGAAGUAUUAAGAAAUAAAAUUAAAUUGCUUACAAACUAAUUAGUUCACAUCUACCCUUCUACAAUAUAAAGAUAGCUUAGUUGAGCUUGUAUAGAGAGCACAAGUUUUUUGAAAAAGAUAUUUUUCACAACAUAUUCCAAGUAAUCCAGUUUUGAAGUCAACAAAACUGCAAUAUUGUGAUGUGAUCCAAGAAGCACAAGUAACAAAGUCAAGUCCAGAGUCGAGCCCAAGGAAAGAUCCGUUGAUAGUCGAGGGGCCAAUGAAUCUCAGUCUCAAAGAUGCCAAGUGACAUGGCUCCAAAGACUGGUGUGGUUUCAGUCUUUAUUAUUGAUUCCGUCCUCGAUGAUCUCAUGGAUCUAACAAAUAACAAGUCUAACUCGAUUGUUGUUGUGAAUGAUCAAAUUGCAACGCUCCACGAGGAGCUAAUGUUAUUGGGAUCAUCCAUCACGGCUAUAGUAUUGCAGCACGAAGCAGAACAUGAAGAACUUGUGAUACGGAGCAGAGACAUAGCAUAUGAAGUUGAAUAUGUUAUCAACUCAUUACCUCAUGUUUGGUAUCUUUCUCUCCGGCUCCCUCAACUCAUUGACAAGAUUCGGCUUAUUAUGAUAGCUGUCAAAAAAAUGAAGAACAAUGUUGAUGUAGUUAGAAUGUUAGUUGUCUCAAAACAUCCACAUGAGCUGGUAGAGUCAGAGUCAAAAGAACCUCCCAUUUUGGAAGAAAUUGUUGUGGGAUUUGACAAUGUAACAAUUAAAAUUACAGAACAACUUGUUGGAGGAACAGGCCAGCUGCAAAUUAUUUCCAUCUUUGGGAUGCCUAGACUUGGUAAGACGACCUUGGCAAAUAAAUUAUAUAAUCAUCCCUCCGUUUUACAGCAUUUUGACAAGCGUGCCUGGUGUGUUGUUUCUCAAAUGUAUAAUAAGGAAAAUGUUUUGAUUGAAAUUUUGAGCUUAAUGAGUAACAGUAAGAGGGACACAUACAUGAAUAUGGAGGAAAUAAGCUUGGCUAAAAAUCUUUACCAAAGCAUAAUAGGAAGCCGAUACCUCAUUGUGAUAGAUGAUAUAUGGGAUAUCAAUGUGUGGAUUGAUUUGAAAAGAUAUUUUCCAGAUGACGGAAAUGGAAGCAGAAUCUUAUUCACUACUCGAAAUAAAGAAGUGGGUUUGAAAGCUUUACCUCGUAAUGUCAUAAAGGAACUUCCUUUUCUGUCGGAAGUUGAAUGUUGGGAAAUAUUACAAGAAAAAGUGUUCCAAGAUAAAAAAAUGUCCUCAAGAAUUCCUAGACAUUGGCAAGCAAAUUGCAAAAAGCUGCCAGGGCCUACCACUUGCAGUGGUCGUGAUAGCUGGAGUUCUUGCAAACAUGGAGAAGAAAGAACUCUUGUGGGAAAAAGUUGCAAGAAACUUAAGUUCACAUAUAUCCGAAAUACCAGAGAAGCACAUCCAAAUAUUGCAGCUUAGCUACAACCAUUUACCAAUGCAUUUGAAACCAUGUUUUCUUUACUUUGGAGAAUUCGAGGAAGACAAGGAGAUCCCUGUAAGGAAGUUGAUAUCUCUCUGGGUUGCCGAAGGUUUUAUAAAGAAGGAAGAAAAGAAGAACAUAGAGGACGUGGCACGAGACUAUCUAAUGAAACUGAUUGAUAGGAGCCUAGUACUUGUUGCUGAAAGAAGAUAUGAUGGAGGAGUCAAAACAUGCAAGAUUCAUGAUCUAUUUCGUGAAAUGUGCUUGAAAAUAGCUGAAGAAAAUAACUCCUUGAAGUUAAUCUCAGAGUAAGUUCAAUGUUUCUCUUCUUUCUCCUUUCCUUUCCAUCCAUUUUUUAUUUUAGCUUACUUAGAAGGUUAUUAUAUUUGAUAAUCGUAACAAUGAUGUGAUUAUGUUGUUUUUGUUGCCAGUAGUGAUGAUGAUGAUGAAGAUAAACAACAGUUCUUCAGUCAAGUAUCAACGUAUCAGCAGCACCAUUGUUUGAGUAUCAACUACAUGGACUAUCCUAGUGGCCUACACGUACGCUCUCUUCUAUAUGAUUUUGUUUUUGAGAGCACAGUCACAUUAAUCUCAUGCAGCUACAAAGUUCUUAGGGUCUUUGAUUUUAAGAACAGGUCAACAAUCCUAGAUCUAGUGAUAGGAUUUGAAAAUAUGGUUCACUUAAGGUACUUGGCAAUUUCAUAUAAAUGGCAACCAUUGGAUUUGGAAAGGUUCCACAAACUAGAAUUUCUUGUUGUGGACAAUGUUGAUAAAGUUGAAAUACCUGAGAUCCUUCUUAAUAUGGUGAGUUUGAGACACAUGGAGUUCAAGGGCGGUGCAUACUUCGGUGAAUCUAGUCGUCAACUAGCAACUAAUAGUAAGAGCUUCCAAAUAAAUAUCCUACAAAGUAUUUCUGUACUCUCAAUUUACCAUGAAAUGGAUGAGAAAAUUUUGAGAUGUUUACCCAAUCUUCGUAGACUGAAAAUCAAUGUUGAAAAUUCACCAAAUCAUUCGUUCGAUUUCCUUAAUCAGCUUGAAUCGUUGAAUCUAUUUUUUUAUUCUACCAAUUUGAUCGGUUUGCCCUUAAAUUUGAAAAAAUUGAGACUGCAAUUUGGAGAUGUGUGAAAAGGCUAUAGUUCGACCCAAAUAAUACCUAGAGGGGGGGUGAAUAGGUGUUUAUGCGAAAUUUAACAAUUUAAUUAACUUAUGCAACAUGUCACAUAAGUACGCUUUGUCCAGAUUCAUUCACAUAAUUUAGCUACCUAAGUUGAAUUGCCGCGUUGAAAUCAAAACAACAGAAAACAGUAGAAACGCAACAAAAUGUUGAUGGAGAAAACUCAACUGGGUAAAAACUCUGGGCACAAGCCAAUAGAGAUCCACUAUAGAAGAUAUUGACUUACAGUACGCCAGACAUAAUUGAAUCUAACAAUACUUUGACCUCCUUACUGUAUCAACCAAAAUUCUCCUGGAUUUUGCAGAUCUGCGCCAAAAUCCCAGCCCUGAAUUUCUUCUAUCUCCCGUGAAUCACCAAGCACUCCAGUUCUUCAAGCAGUUUCCUUCCCGGAUCUUCAAACAGAUGAUCUUUUGGAAGUUGAUAUGGAGAUUUGAAUGGUGUUUUGGUUUUGUGAAGGUUGAUGUUUUUCUCUAAUAGAGCAAAAGAUGAAAAGAAAGAAUUUUUUGGCUCUAAAUCCUUUGGUUGUUGAGAGAAAUUUUUAUUUGUGUGUUUUCCCAAGGUUAUAAAUGAAAAACGGAAUUUUUGUUUAUAUAGUAGGUCGUUUUUGGUAGUAUGGAGCAUUUAAAAUUCGCGAGGAAGGAAAAUUACCAAAAGCUAGAUAGCACUGUCGCUCGAGCGAAGUGCUGGCGAAACUCGAGCGACGCACCUUCGCUCGAGCUACCCCUCAGCGAAACUCUAGCGACAACAGUUCUGUUAUUUAGGCUCGAGCGAGGUCAGGGUGAAACUCUAGCGAGAUCAACGCGUCGUUUGCAUCUUCAAAGCAUCCAACUUUACCCUAGACAUAUGCUAUAAACUUUGCAAAAUUGCAACACAAGUCCCUGAACUUUUUGGACCUUUACAAUGUAGUCCUUGACUUUACAAACUUGACAAAUUGGUCCUUUGGUCACAGAUUGCCAAUGACAACAUUUUUCUAACAAUGUGUCUCGAAAACAAAUGGAGAUUUGGAAGAUUGCCUUACCUUGAGGUUCUCAAACUAGAAUCAGUUGUCUUUGAGGGAAACAAUGGAACACAAGUGAAGGUAAAUUCCCACAACUUAAAUACUUGAAACUUGUAUGUGUAAACAUUGCAGAAUGGAAUGCCUCAGUGAUAAUUUCCCGAGGCUUCAACUAAUAGUAUUGAAUUUUUGCCGGAAUCUAAAGAUGAUCCCUUCCUGUUUAGGUGAUAUUCCAAUGUUACAGAAGAUUCAGGUAUAUAGGUGUGGACAAACUAUCAAUGAAUCAGCUAAGAAAAUUGAGGAAGAACAAAAAGAGAUGGGCAAUGAAGAGCUUGAAGUCAUUAUCUCUGAAUAGGAAAUUGACAUCGAGAAACUUCCAAAGGUAAUAAUGAGAGAGAUUCUCUUCUUUAACUCUCUUUCAUGUUCUCAUCUUGGUCCGAGGUAUUAAACAUCAAAAACAUCAAAAAUUAAUUCUACUGUAAUUUUGCCUUCUAUUGAAAUUAAGCUCAUGUUUGGUUUGGAUUAAAAUCAGAUUUUUAAUAGAUUUUCAUAAAGAUCAAUAAAAUGUGAUUGAAAAAUUAAUAAAAGUUGCGGGUCUCAUAGAAUAUGUGGUUGAAAAUGAGUUAAAGGGAAAAAUGAGUUUUAAAAAUUGGGGACCAAAUAGGCUAAGUUGGCUCAAUUUUAUGAGCUUCUUGAUGUUAUUCUAGGAAUUACUAAUCCAUAAGGUUCUAUGUUUGGACAUCGAUCUCUAUUAUUUCUGCCUUUCACAGAUUUUACCAUAAAAUCGUGUUUAAAUAAAACCCCCAAUGAUCACAAUUUCACUUCUAGUUUGAUUCAGUCCUCGAAAUAAUUUCAUUGUUUAGUCCAAGUCCUCAAUGAAUUGCAUGGGAGGUCCUUCCACUUCUAAACUUGUUAUCUUGGUCCUUGAUUCUAGAUUCCAUCCUUCUUGAUCAAAUAUUGGCCCUUUUUAUUGUUUCCUGUUCAAUACUGGUUUUUCUCCUAAAAUAAUCAUCAAAUACGCAAAAUUAAAUAUAUGCUCAUCAAUGUAUUUCCAAACAUCCUCUUUUGAUGGCUUGGAUAAGUAUAAAAUCAUACUUAUCAACUGUCAUCGAUAUGCAAUUUCAGGAGACGGGUGAUCUUUUUUUAUUUUUCCAAGGCAAAUAGUGAUUUACUCAUUUGUAUUGCAUGUUUGUGUUUGCACAAUUCGCUAAAGGACAAGUGAAUUCAAUUGUGUGAGUAAUAUGCCAAAUAUUUUAAACCAGUAGAGAUCUUUGCAUUGAUGAUCAUAUUUAGACAUAUAUUAUUGAUAUGCACACUCAAGAGAUUUUAUUAGGGUUUGAAGACCUUAAUGAUCUUGCAUAAAAGUUUGUUCUGACUUAAAAAGGUGAACCCAUUACUUUACAGACUUUUAACAUUGGUGUUAAUUAUUUCAGAUGCUAGGGUUGGUACGUUCUUGGCAAACAAGAUGAUCAAAAAUCGAUUGCAUAGUUGGAAGCAAGAUCAACGGUUGAAUGACAUUUUGGUGGCGUAUAUUAGAACGAUGUAUUUGAUGAUAUUGAUAAUGAUAUAAUUAUACAAUGUUUUCAAAAUAUGAAAAUGUGUAGGCUACAAUUAUAGUGAUAUAUUGACUUGUUUUUAGUAAUACGUUGUUUUAGAAAAAUUGUAUUUUAAUUUUUAAUCAAACAAUGAAAAAUGUGUGGCUUCACAAUCAUAUUAGGCUUGAUAAAACCAAUUAUCUUCGGUGGGAAAACCAAAUUCUGAAUGUCACCAUGGCUAGUGGAUUAGAAGGUUUUAUCGAUGGUACAUCUACUUUUCCAUCAAAGUUUGUUGUACAACUGCUCAUUGGGUCGAAAUUUUUAUUAACAUUGCAGUAUUAUGACUUCAAGCUUUUCAUUUCCCAUCUCUUCUUGUUUUUCCUGAAUUUGCUUAUCAGAUUCUUAAAUUGCUUGCUCAGACCCUCUACCAGAGAAGUUUCCCAAUCAAGAAUUUGCUCAUAAGAUUGUUGGUUAAGGGAUUCCUUUAAAUAAAAUAGAAGAAAGACAGUAAAUUUUCAGAGAAGUUUCCCAAUCAAGAAUUUGCUCAUAAGAUUGUUGGUUAAGGGAUUCCUUCAAAUAAAAUAGAAGAAAGACGAUAAAUUUCCAGAGAAGUUUCCCAAUCAAGAAUUUGCUCAUAAGAUUGUUGGUUAAGGGAUUCCUUUAAAUAAAAUAGAAGAAAGACAGUAAAUUUUCAGAGAAGUUUCCCAAUCAAGAAUUUGCUCAUAAGAUUGUUGGUUAAGGGAUUCCUUCAAAUAAAAUAGAAGAAAGAUGGUAAAUUUUCAUGUAUAUCAAAUUAAAACAGCAAUCUCUACAUAUAGAUGUUAGUACGCCUUUCCAAGGCGUUACAAUAUUUCUAGAACCAGCCUAGUUGAUACGAAACAAAUACAAAAAGAAAAUUUUAUUAUUCGAAAAUCUUCCACCCUGUCUAUCCCCAAAGUUCAGAACAGGAGGGGGUGUUUCUCCUUUUUCAGUAUUAUUAUGUAAUUGACUCUUCGUGUAAAGAGUUGAUUGAAUUGAUUGACUCAGACGGAUAAUAAUAUACAUGGGGGCGCCAACAAUAAAUGAUUAUGUAAUUAUACUUGCUAAUGCAAAAUAAGUAUAACUUCAUUGACAUAAACGAUAGGCAUCAUUUUUUACUGCUAUGCCAUCGAUUUCCAAGUGACAAACUAGACUAAGAGCAUUUAAACAUCUGAAUUCUUGAACACACCAUUCUUUCAAAAGAUUUUCAAUGUGUCAAAUUUGAAUAAGGGUCCUUACUAUUCAUCAAAUUAAACUACUGGCUCUAUCACAUUUAUCGACCUUUAGUUCAUUCUUUUGGACGUACUCCAUAAGGGUUAUCUAACAUAUUAGGCCAAUAUUGUAGAUUACAUACUUGUCCAUGUAAAUUGAUUUAUCAAAUGAUCUUGUAAUUGUCCACCCUCAACUCCUCCAGUAAUUUGUCUUGAAUGUCCUAUAUUUUAAAAGCGUUAAAGCGUCCCUUAUGGUAUCCAGGUUCGAACAAGUAGCCAUGGACGUGUCUUCGAUUUGACAUUGAAGUACUAAGAAAUGAAAUUAAAUUGCUUACAAACUAAUUAGCUCACGUCUACUCUUCUACAAUAUAAAGAUAGCUUACUUGAGCUUGGUAUUUUUCGCAACAUAUUCCAACUAAUCCAAUUUUGAAGUCAGUAAAACUGUAAAAUUGUCUAUCAACUCAAGUACAUACUUUCUUUGACUAAAUGUAUGCUUUAGGAAAUCCGUAAAAAUAAAUUGUCACGAGUCGCGUUAUCUAAUCAUACCAAACUUGCCACGAUGAAAUCAAAACUUAUCGCGACCAAACUAUUGUUAUACGCAACAUCAUGCACAUAAGAUCAUAAAUUUUAUGCACAAAUCUUUCAGAAGUCUACAGCUUCGAUUUUCAAACCAUAACUGGAGAAAGCAUGAUCCACGUCUGGAAAACAUAUUAAGCGCUUUCAAAAUUGCUUUGAGUAAACCUAUCAAAUGAAAUAACAUGCAAUCUAAUAAAUGUUUUCUUGAUAUGAUCUGGAAUCUGAGAUGUUAACCAUGACAACCGAGACAAAAAAAAAAAAAAUAAUAAUAAUAAUAACUAUUGUUUCAAAAAGCCCGUGUCGCAAGAUUGAAGUACUCCUGACCUCCUAGCUAGACAGAGGUUCAGGAUUCGUCUUCGUCUUCAUCUUUGUCCUCGUCUUCAACUUCAACUUCAUCUUCAAAAUCUACAUUAUCGACCUUUGCAACAGGAGAUGCUCACCAAAACUUGUUCAACUGUUUUAGAAUCUGAAGUCCUACGUCAGCGACAGCGUUGGCCAUUGACCAGAUCACUAUUCUUUUCAGCUUAGGCGAUUUUUCUAGUAAAAGCUUAGUGACUGCCAUCUCAGCAACUGUGCCUGAAAUAAAAUGCAGCUUCACUUUUUGAAGUCGAUUUGAAGUUACAUCUGAGCAGUCUUGCACUUACAGAAAAUCUGGAAUAGGACUAGCAUCAGCAUUUGCAGCACUCUCACAAAUCUAGACAUUAAAGCAAGAUAUCACUGAGCUUAAACUUUUGUUUUAAAAUGGAAAAUUGAAGAUGUAAAUUGUAAUGGUCAUAUCCAUCACUUACCUCGAAUCUCAGUUCCUCAAGGUUGAGGGCGCUGCUGAUCAAGCACAAAACACGAGAGUUCAUCCAAUAAAUUAAAAAAUAUAUAAAAUAACCUCUGAUCAAGCACAGAACACAAGAGAGUUCAUCCAAUAAACUAAAAAAUAUAUAAAAUAACCUCUGAUCAAGCACAGAACACGAGAGUUCAUCCAAUAAAUUAAAAAAUAUAUAAAAUAACCUCUGAUCAAGCACAGAACACAAGAGAGUUCAUCCAAUAAACUAAAAAAUAUAUAAAAUAACCUCAGAACUUUAAGGUGGAUUAAAGUAGCUGGAAGCCUUUCUUGGACUUGACCUGCAGCCAAAAUCUUGAGAGCAGUGGUAAAAGCACGAUCUAAUAUAGUUAACUUGACGAUUUCAAGGGAUUGUAUUUAUAAUCAAAAAUACCUUAAUGACAGUAUAGUUCAAGAAUAUUUUCUGAAGGCCAAUAAACUUCAUACAAAAGAGAAUAAAAAAACUGAAUGAAGUUACAUUUCCCAUCUUGCAAAAUAUUGUCAACCACCCAAUCAUUAUGUGAAGCAACAAAAAUUAUUGCAAGAAGAGUGAAUUUCUUAAAACAAAACAAUGAUGUAGGAAACAUGUCAAUUCAAAGUGUUUUAGCAUAGGAGCAUCAAUUUCUAAGUAGUCAAAUUUGUUUGAAACAUUCAGCAACAGUUUCUCCAGUAAUGGGCAGCUAGAUAUCAAACUUCCUAAUGCAUACAUCAUAAUCAAUUGUCACGUCAAGCAAUUCCAGCCAAAUCAUCCUAUUAAAUCCUUCAAAGCUUGGUGGAGGAGGAUUGAUCAAACAAGACAACAGCUUCAAAUGUUUCAAAUGUAAACACAUAAAUAGUGAAGAAGGCAAUGUGUACUGUUCUCCGCUCUUGAUUUUAAAGGUGAAUUCUUCAACACUGUACUUCCAUAAGAUAUGUAUCAAGUCGUCAAUGUCUGAGCAAUUUUAAGUUUCGGAAUAACGAAGCUCAAUUUAGUUAUGGGUCCUUUACGAAGCAAAAGAACCUUGUAAAGGAUCAACAAGAAUUUCAUUCUAGCUGAUUCUAGGUUUCCCUCAUAUUCUUGCCAUAGGGUCUCAUCAAAUCUCAGUUGGGGUAGUUUGACCCAUUUAUACCUCCAUUGUUUUGACAAAAUACUUGUCUUUGCAGCAUCAUGUAAAGUCAAAUGCAUUAGAAUGCUAUCUGCUACAUUGUCAGCAAGGUUGCUUACCCUAUCAACAGGUUGGAACUGGGUAAUAUCCAUUCUGCAGUGUUAUUGAAAAGACAACCCUUUAAUGACACCUCACAAGUAAUAAAUGUAUAAAAUUUACCUUAGAAGUAAUAUGCAUGCACACGGUAGAUAUUAAAGAUCCAACAUGAAGGUUUCCCCAUUGUCUUGCAUUAUUUUAAUAAUCCUACGCAAAAGUUUUAACAGUUAAAUUUUCCAUAUUUUAUAUCCCAAAAUUUGAAAAAUGGGGAUUACAGUUUCUUAAGCAUGGAUACACUUGCCCUCAUGCGUUAGAAAUUAAAAAAUUAUAAAAUAUCGGACACAACAUGUGGUGUGUUGAACACAUCUGCCUUAAGUCUAGGAAAUUUAAAACUGAUAUAUAAAAGAAUAUACGCCACGUGACAUAUUGGUAGUAGAAUGAGUGUCAUCCUUCAUAGCUGGUUAAAUUAUCAAAACAUUCAUAUGUUACCCACCAGGAAAAUAGAGACAGGUUUCACAAUUGAAAUUUACAUUUAUACAUGCCCUCGACAAAGUGGCUGUUAAGGGAUAUAAACCCACAUCAAAUAAAGAUGAAAAUAUAAAUCAACUUAUAAGAUUUUGUGCUACUCCUAUUUAUAAGGUUGAUCUUUUAAGAUGGAACUCUCAAUCUUAACAUAUCAGAGACAUUAAGCUCUAACAAACGAUUCGAUCCGAUUAAGAAUAUAAAAAAAUGAGCAUACGGACACCAAGAUUGGUUUGCUCAAAAGAGCCACCAUCUUGCUGUGGGUUUGUUAAGGAACAUAAUCUCAUAUCGAAUAAAGAUGUAAACUUGGACUAGUUUAUAAGUUUUGGGCUAUUCCUCUUAACAAAGUUGACAUUUUAAGAUGGACCCAAGUCUUAAAAUGGUAUGUUAAGGGAUAUAAUCCUACAUCGAAUAAAGAUGGGAACAUAGACCAACUUAUAAGGCUCUCGGCUACUCCUCUUAACAAGAUUGGCCUUUUAAGAUAAACUAUAAAUUUUAACAUGGUAUUAAAGCCCAUUAAGCUCCAACGAACGAUUCGAUCCGAUUAAAAUUCAAAAAUGAGUACAUGAAUUUCACUAUUGGUCUGCUCAAACGAGUCAUCAUCUUGUGGGAACAUGUUAAGGAAUAUAAUCACAUAUAAAAUAAAGAUGAAAAUAUAGACCAACUUAUAAGGUCUUAGAUCACUUCUAUUAACAAGGUUGAUCUUUUAAGAAGAAACCCAAAAUCUAAACAGUGGCAACAAAAUAUUCAUGUUGUCAAUCCCAAAUUUAUUGGGAUUAAAGUUUAGUUUGUAGUCAUAGAUGCAAAUCUAACAUAAAAAUGUGUACUGCUCUUCACAUAGUAUCCUUGAUGAUGCAGUGGUGCCUACCUGUUAUAAUUCGAUGGUUAAACUAGUUGUGAAUCCUGAUGACAGAAAGUGUGCUAGGAUAAUAGUUUGUAGAGUGUUCUAAAAAAAAAUCUCUCUUGUAUAUGAGCUAGGCACCACUUUUAUAGGUAGAGACUACUUAUGCAGAUGGUGUGUUUCUUCAUUUUAAUAAACCCGUUGCUCGAGUUUUCUCGAAAUUGAGUCUACCAUGAAAUAGGUGAUCAAAUGGAUUGACUCAGUCAGAGAAUUGAUUUAGAUAAGGAAAGAGUCUGGUCGAAUAUCUAUGUCCAGUCUGACCAUAGGUUAAGAAACAAAAAAGAAAAUCAAAAUACCGUCUAUAGCUACAAUGUGACUGCUUAGAAAAAUCUAUUGUUCGAAAAUUAGAAAAGCAAAGUAUCAAGGAAAGUUAAACUUAACAAACUGACUAAUUGCUAAACUAAUUCUAUUUACAGUAGCCUACAGAGUUGAGGGUCAUUUUUAGGAUUUUUCUUCCAUCCUCAUCAUCUCCAAAGAAGUCAAUCUUUAUAUAAUGUAUGUAUCAAUAGACUAUGCAUUUUACAUUCAACCCCACCCCAUUAAAAGAAAGAAGGCAUCUUCUGGUAGUAUACACUACUUCUGAAUCCUCUUUUAUCCUGUCAUAAUAUUAUUUUCUGCAAAUUCCCCAAUUUGUGUUGCAAAAAUAAAAUCUCAUUGAACAUGCAGAAAACAGUGCAACUAAAGAUUUGACUCAUAAAUAAAACACUACACAUUUCUACAAAUAUUUCAUAUAAAAAGUUAAAGGGAGGGACCGUACAAAAACUGUUUCAAUUUAAGAAAAUAGAAUCGCACCUGUAAUGGAGAGAGUGAUGGCACCGCGGCGGAGGGGGUUUUGGAUUGCAAUCUCAAAGGAAAUUAACGGGGAAAGGGGAGCUGAACCUUCAGUGGUGGAUUAAAACACUUGGGUCAAACUUAAAAGUUAAGGGUGUUUUGUUUGUGUUUUAGUUUUGUGUUUUGAGUUUUAAAUUCAUUUUGAGUUUUGUGUUUUGAGUGUUUGUUUUGAAAUUGUUGAAAAUGUGUUCUUUUUGUUUGUUUCUUAAAACAAAAAAAAUGAAAUUUUUUUUUUUUUGAAGAGAAUCACCACACCUCCAAAAAAAAAAAUAAAUAAAAAAAGAAAAUUUUUUUUCGAAAACGGGAAAGAGAACACGUUUUCACCGUUUUGAAAAAUCGAAAACAGAAAACGGCCCGAAAACGGUAAAGAGAACAGGGCCUAAAAGUUGCUGACAUUUUUUGCUAACUGCCAAACUUGAAUAAAUUUAAUUUUAAGUUUUAAAUAACUUCAUUUUGAAAUAUGACUAAAGGCCUUGUUUAAUAGGGAUUAAAAUCAAAUUUUAAGUAAAUUUUGAUAAAAAUUAUUGAAAUUUAGCUAAAAAGUUGUGGAUCCCUUGAAAUGUUUGAUUAAAAAUAGUUGUUCACUUUGACUUAAAUUAAAAUCUAAAUUUAAUUUGUAUCAAAUAAGUUUUUAAAUAAUUAAUUACUUUUUUCUUAAUUAAAAGCACUUAGCCCCUGAUUGGUGAGUAUUAAAAUCAAAUUUUUACUAGAUUUUAAUAAAAAUAAGCGAAAUGUAUGGUUGAAAAGUUGUGAGUCUCUUAAAAUUAAUGGAUGCUUAAAAUUAGUUAUUAACUUUGAUUUGUAUUAAAAUCUGGAUUUAAUUUGUAUAAAAAUUGGGCUUAGUAUAAAAGUAAGUUUUAUUUUACUAUAAAAAGUAACUUAGUAACAUGUUUGCUAGUGAAAAUGAAAAGAACAAAGAAUAACAUAUUUGGCUGAGCUCAAAAAAACAUAAAAGUAUCUAAGAUUUACAAAACACAUCAUAUUAUCAGAGUUUUAAAAAUCGGACCGACCCCAAUCCGUUCAACUGAAAGAAUCGAGAAUCGAGUCCAAAACCAAAACCAAUCUAGGUAGGCUUAUAAAACCUCUAAUUGAAAAUUCAUCCCAAAACUCGUUAAAUUGACAAGUUUUUGAAAAACCCAUGAACCUGUUCAACCUAUGUAAAUGUAUAUUUUUAAAUUAUAUAUAUGUAUUGCAUAUUUAUAUUUUUUAAUUUUUCAAAAAUCACUAGUUCGAUUCCGAUUCAACCCUGAUUUAACCUUUUGAUGCUUGACUCUCUUUUUCAAGUAAAUAGUCGGGUCAAUUCUUAAAACAUUGCAUAUUACUGAUUUGAUAUCUUUUUUAUUCAUUUUAUUUCGUUUUUCCAAUUCGCUGUAGACUUGUAUGAAAAUAGGAUUUACUUUAUUGAACUCCUCGACAAAAUCAUACCAAAUGGGGGUAGAAACAAAGCUUCUUUUGAUUAUUCGUAAGCGCCAAUUAGUUAAAAAAUUACAUUAAUAAUUUAUACUCUUGCCCUAGCUCGUCCAAAAGCUAGAUUCAUAUCUAUAUUAGUAAAAAAAUAUAUUUUAAAACUAUAAAUAAAUAAUUUUUUAUUAAUCAUUUUUUCUAAUUCGCUAUAGACUUGUUUGAAAAUAGGAUUUACUUUAUUGAACUCCUCGACGAAAUCAUACGAAAUGGGGGUAGAAACAUAGUUUCUUUUGAUUAUUCGUAAGUGCCAGUUAGUUAAAAAAUCACAUUAAUAUUCUCUACUCUUGUCCUAGCUCGUUCGAAAGCUAGGUUCAAAUCUAUAUUAGUAAAAAAUAUAUUUUAAAACAAUAACUAAAUAAUUUUUUAUUGAUUAGUUUUAUAAAUAAAUUAUGUUAUUUAUUUGAACAAUUAAAUGAGAAUUACUUUAGAUCAAGAAAAUGAUUUUAGGACAUGUUUAAAAAUAAAAAAUGACUACAAAAUAAUUAUAGAUGUGAAUAUCACACUUAUUUUUUGCUUAGUUAACGAGCAUUUGUUGAUUGUUAUAUUCAAUUCUUUAUUCUUUAGAGUGAAUUAUUCAAUUCUACUCUCUGUUGAUUUGUGCAAUAUUUUCGUGUUCUUGGGCAAAAAUUUGAAUUUUGACAAUUUUAUGAUAUAGAGUGAAAGGAGGUGAAAAGAGGACUAGCUUUUGAUGGUUUAAGUUUCACUGUGACAUUUUGAUAUUGAAAUUGAAUAUAAAUUGAGAUUUUUUAUUUUUUAUUUUUUAUUUUUUUGUUGAUUUAUAUUUUGUUAAGGGCGAAGGGAGGGGCAACCUUGGGCUCCCAUUAAAUUUUCAUUAUUUGAGAGAGAGAGAGAGAGAGAGUUAUUAUUAUUUUUUUCUCUUUGUUAGUUUAAUACAACAAAAAAGCACUACCCCCUAUUAAAUUAAUAUUUUUAUCAACUUGUGAAUGGUUUGUGAGCGUGGUGUAAAAAUAAAAUAAUUUGUCAAUUGUCGUAUUAAAAAUUAUAAAUCCAGAAGAUAGUAAAGAUAUGCUUUUAAUAUUUGUGUGGGUCUUGUAAUUGAAUUUCUUUGGGUCGUAUAACGCACUUUUAAUUGUUGAAACUUACCUAGUGAUGUAGUCAUUCCACACUUUAAAGUAGGUUUAAUUUUUCUUGAAAGAGAGAUCAUCAAGUAAGUUUGUGAAAUUCGACUGGCAGCAUACGUGAAGUUUGUCAAAGUGUAAUAAAUUAAUGUUAAAAAAAAAAAAAAGUCUGAAUCGGUAGAUUAUGAGGAUAGCGAAUCUAAUUGGGAAGUGUCGGCACGCCCAUUUUGAUCUCUAACAUCCUUAUGCAAAAAUAGUAGUGUAAAAUUAUAAAGUAAAUAACUUUUUUUAUUUUACGAGAAUUAUAAAUAAAAUAAUUUAUUAAUUUUAACAAUAAAUGAACACAUAUUUAAAAGAAAAACAAAUAUAAGGUUACAGAUUUGUAUUUUUUUUUUAAUCGAAAGUUUAAUCCAGAACAAAAUCAUAGAAACAUUAUGUGUAAAUAGGGAUGUCAAAGGGGCCUAGCGACUCGUUGGUUUGGCCGCUCAUUUCGUCAAAAUAGGGAUCGUGGGCGGUUCGGGCUUGUCAAAUCACGAGCCCGAGCCAAGCGCAGGGCCCCAUUUGGCGAGCCAAUUAUCCGCGAGCGCACGAGCUCAGUUCGUGUGCUAUAGUUGCCGAAUUUGGGUUACAAAUUUUUUUCCUCAAAACAUUUGCCUAUAAAUACCCCCAGAAGGCCCACCCAUUUUCAUCUUCAAAUUAUUGGUUUUUCACUCUUCUGCGUCAUACAAUUACAAUUUUCUUACUAUUUCAAUUUAUCGUAGGCCACAUGGAUUUAAAUCUGAAUCUUUGUGGCAUAUGAGAAAUUGGAUCUAUGUGGCAUACAAUAAAUUGGAAACUGAAAAAUGUAUUAGAUAGAUUGGCAAAAAGUAUUUUGGAAGCAUUAUUAAUGCACGUGAAGGAUUGACGUAACGCUCAUUUUCGAUUACAAGAUAAAUUUUAAUUUGUCGAAAUCACAUAUUGUUAGGUAAGUCAUAAGUGAUAUUUAAUGCAAUUUUAAUCAUAUUAAUCAGAAUUUGUUAUUUUAUAGUACUAUUUUUAAAUUCCUUUAAAAAUUUGUACAUGUUACAACCUACAAGUCAUUCGUGUACAAUUUUUAACUCCGCCUACUCAAAAUUUAAGUUACCGUUUCCAAGCUUGGAUAAAGGAGGAGGGUUCGUAUAAUUAUAUUCUGAUUUCAUCUAUUUAAAUUUAAAAAAGAAAAUGGAAAUCAACGAGCUCCCCCCUUAAGUAACAAGCCACGAGCUCGGCUCCUGAGGAACAUGAGCCGAGCUCGUAUGUUUAAGGGCCGAGCUGAGCUGAGCCGGUCCAUUGCCACCGCUACGUGUAAGUGAUCAAGCAUGCCCAUUAACAUGCUCUAUAUAUGGUGAAUUUUAAUGUGUAUAUUGUGAGUACGUCUAGACAUAAGAUGCCUUCAUAUACAUCAUCAUGUGACAUAUAAAUUAAGCUCCUGUAUGGUGUAGCUAAAUAGUUGAUAAAAAUUUAAGUUAAAAAGUCAAUUAUUAAUUUUAAUCACGAAUUUCAUAGGAUUUACACUUUUUAUCAACUUUAUCAAAAUCUACAAAAAAUCUAAUUUUUAGCUAAAUCAAAUAAGGGAUUAAUUCGUAUGUAGUAACAUGCAAUCCAGCACGAACACUAGAAGUCAAUAUAUGAAUUUUCAAAGCUAUUGCACUUUUGAUUUUACCCAAUACAAGGAAUCUACAAAAAAUCUUAAGCUCAAUCAAACAAGAGCUAAUUUGCAUGUAAUAGUAUGAAGUUCAACGCAAACACUUGAAGUCACGGAUGCGCUCCCAGCUGUUUGGCCAUCUUUACCUCUCUUAAAAUUAAUUAUCUGCUACUUUUCAACCAACUCCUUUGCAGCAAUUGGGCCCCAUGUCUGCUGCCAUGCUUAGCAGUUGUAGAUAAAAAAUCUUGUUGAUCGUUGCACGUUGCCAGACGAAAAUACCUCCUUUAUUGAAAUGAACUCCAAAUUAUUCCCCAUUCAUGACAUGUGACCUUCUUUUUUCCAUAAGUCUUGAACUCUGCUCAUCUCCACUUAACUCCGCGUGGCCAACACUGACCUCAGAUGCUGGACCAUAGAAGCUACAAUUGAAGACAUCCACUUCUGCAUAUAAACGUAUGGCAUCCAUAGCAGCCUAACUUGUGCCCGAUCCACUGUUCGGAGCUCCCGUUCUGCCAUUGUCCCGUAAAGUCGCCCACCAAUUCCUCGACAUAGACUCAUAGGCUGAUUCCUUUCUAUGCCUUUUGGACCCACAAGUCAGGGCCACACGGCAAGGACAACGACAGCUCGCAUUGGGGCUACUAUCCACAAAGCAUGGUAAGCUUCUUACCGAAUUCACGAGAUUCUAGCACAUCAAAAAUCACUUUUUGUGGCAAGUUGGUGACUGACAACCGUUUCUUUUUCAAAGCUACAUGACCUAGUUAAUUGACCCGGUGCUAGUUGUAUCUCUUCCUCGACGCUCCGGCACGAGGUCAAAGACCCAAAAGUGUGCGAAGUAGGAUCCUCGGGAAUACCAGAUUUUUAUCUCUAUGGCAGAGCACGUGACUGCUGAGGGCAUUGUCGGGGUAAGUUUUUUUCGACUACUUGCUGGGAGCACAUCCGUGAUCUGUUGAACAAGAAGGCUAGGAAGGAUUGGACGAUCGCUCAGCUCAAAAACCACUAGCAAGUUAUGCGAACGGAGCACGAGCUUUUUAUGAAUUGCUCUAAUGCUCUGGAAUUCAGUAUAGGUUGAACAAUGGGGGCAGAAUCAAAGUGGCGGACUGGUGGUAGAAGCAGAAAUUGAAGGUAAUAAUGAACUGCCCGUAAUCAUAAUCUCCCUGUUUGUCUUGCCAUAUGAUUGUCCACUUUACACUUGUUGAACAUGAUUAUACUUUACCUAUUUCCGACUACCCUCACUACAUAAUGCGAAUCUUCAUAAUGUGUUGUGCUGCUUUUGUAAAAAUACAAUUGGAAUGCAUAAUUUAUAGUUGUCGUUACCUUUGUUGUUGCCAACUUCAUAGGAUGCAGUACAAGCUGCCUUGUCAUUUCGAAAACUGAAAUGCAAUCUACUAGGAACCAUGUACGUUUAGGACUUAUUCCAAACCCAUGUCCGCUGCUUGCACUAUGUUUUUGCAAAUUUCUAGUUAUGCUUUAGUUGAAUGUGGAAUUGCAUGAUCUCGUUGUUCUCUUUUUUUUUUUUUUUUUUUUUUUUUUUUACGCCAUACUAUGUCCCACUGUGAUAUGCACAUGGAAUUGAUAUCAUUAACCUAGUGCAGGAGAAUCCAAAGUAUGGAAAGUUUAAGGACAGUGACAACAGAGAAAUUUACCACACUUACAGCAAACUAUUCGAUGACAGUAAUGACUCUACAAAGUAUGUUUUAACACCAACAAAACUUUCACAAUCCGAUUUAGAUUUUAUCUUGGACAAUGACACCGAAGAUCCAAACGAUAGGCUACCGGUCAAUGCCAAGACGACAGACUCGAGUGACGAGCCAACGGAGGGCAGAGCCAACUCUUUAAUGAAUAUUUCCCUCAGGCGAGGCAGGGAAAAGUGUAAUGGUAAGGAGGUGAGGGAAAAGGGAAAGAAAAGAACUUCGGGGCCAGGGAAGUGUCGAAGUCUGCUAACAACUUGGUGACUACGUCAAGAGAAUUCACCUUGAUCCUUCGUUCCAAGGACAAGGGCCUAAUGACCAUUCUAGAGUGUGUGAACGACUUGCUUUUCAUGGGCCUCGUUGUUAGUGGUGACAAGCUCCAUUUGAUCACUCGGUAGUUCUUUAGGCAGAGUGACAAUUGAAUUGCAUACAAGUCUGCCCAAACAUGGGAGCUCAGGUUCGUGUGGAUUGAGUACUGCUUCAAACGCGACGAGGAAUCAAACCAAGACAAGUUGUCGAAGGCAUGGCACAAACUUUAAUUUUACUUUGCCAUUGUCGAUUUCAUAUUUAUGUCAUUAAUGCUGUUUGUAUUCAUAUGUGUUGAUGUACUUUGGACAACUUAAUUUCCCAUUUGUUGAGCAUGUAUGUAAUUAUUGUACUUGAGAGCGAUAAAAUGUUUAAUGGCAACAGUUGUAUGUGUAUGUCGAACAUAUUUGUUUCUACUGUGACAUGUUUUAAGUUGACGUGUUGAUGGAAUAUAUUCAUUGCCAUAUGUAGAGAAUGUAUUCCCAUUUAAAGUGCUCGUCACUUACCAUCAAGGCAGGCUAAAGUAAACAUUGUGUGUAUGGCAAGUAUAAUCAUGACAUUGGUAUGUCUAUAAAGGGCCUCAUCCAUUUCCACAUAGUGAUGGCUCGGCUCGGCCUGGCUUGUUUUCAACGAGCCGAGCUUGAGCUCGGAGCUUGUAGCUCGUUCGAGCUCGUGGGCCGAGUCGAGCUUUGGCUCACGAGUUUAUCAUCCUUUUUUUUAAAUAGAAAAAACACAAAUAAUGUAAUGAAAACACUUUUUAAAAAAAUAAAAAGUAUUAAAAAAUACAAAUAAUUUAAUGAAGACAUUUUUUUUAUUUCUAUCAUAUUGUAAUAUUUUUUAUAAAGUAUAAAAUAUUUAUGUAAUGAAGACGAAUUAUUUUUUGAAAUACAUUUACACAAAAUAUAUUUUUUCGAUUUCUUUUUAAAGUAGAUAAAAUAUAAAACCUCCUCCUUUAUCCGGAUUUGGGACCGACUACAUCAAUUUUGAGUAGGCGGAGUUAAAAAUUGUACACGAACCACUUGGUGUAAUGUAUACAACUUUUUUAAAGAAAAUUAAAUUUAACGAUUAAAAAAUAAUAAAAUUUUGAUUAAUAUAAUUAAAUCAAAUAUCACUUACCUGACGACAUGCAAUUUCAGUGUAUUUAUCUUGUAGUCGAAAAUGAGAGUCAGGAGCCAAUCCUUCACGCACAUUAACGCUUCCAAAAUAUCUUCUUUCAAUCGACUCCUGACAUCAGUCAAAACCCUUUCACCUGCACUAAAAGUAGACUCCGAAGCGGAGGUGUCAGCAGAUCUUUCGCAAUUGCAGAAACAAUUGGCUAACAUCUUUCAUAUUUUCGCUAGAAUUCAAUUACUUUUCCUGAACUUUUUUUAAUUGUUCUAUCUGUUGGCAUAGUAGAUAACGAAGUAAUCAAUUAAUUCGACAGGCAUCACAUUUUGAAUUGCAGCAGAUGUUUGAUGAGAUGUAAAUGUAGACGACAUGACACUAGAUGAACACAUUGUAGUUGCAUCAUAUCUAAAUGCAUUAAUGUCUUGAAAUAAAUUCAUUAUUUCGGCAUCAGUUUCUUCAAUUUCAGCUGAAGGAGUAGGUGCAGAGGGUAUCCGACUAACAUUCGCACUCAUUCUUUCCGCUUAUAAAUCAUACAUUUCACAUAAUUUUUGCUCUAAAUUCUUAUAGGUGAUAGGUAUAUCAAGUAUUAAGGCUUUAUUGAUUUGAUCAAUUACGUAUUUAGUUCCCGAAAUAUUAUAUCGGCGGUCCAUUGUGCAUGUUAGAGGAAAUAACAUAUGCAGUUCUUCCUAAUAUUUUCUAAACUUUAAUUCCACAGCAAUUAUAAUUUCACUAAAAGUAGGAUUAUUUUUAUAUUUAUGAAAUAUACUUGCAAUUAUAUAAAGACGUUCAAGCACCAUACAACUUGUGGGAUAAUAAAUGUCGGAUAAAAUUUUUGUGGUCUCAUAAAAAUAUGUUAAAAAUCGUUUAACUUUCAAAGCUAAAACCCAAUCGGAUUUAUUCAACAUACCAUCGUCAUCACUUGUAACGUGUCUAUUGUUAUAAAAGUCAGUUAUUAAAUAUUCAAAAAAUUCACAUGACUUUAAUAGCAAGUAAGUAGAGUUUUAUCUAUGGCCUACGUCGCUAACAAAUAUUUUAGCAGUCGUCACCCCUAGUUCGACACAAAAAUCUUCAAAUAUUUGUUUUUUAUUAGGAGAGAUCGUAAUAUAUACUAAUACAUUUCUAAUCUUUUGAAGUUCAUCAUUUUUAUGUUUUAAGCCAUCUUACACAAUUAAAUUCAAGAUAUGGCACACACAACGAAUAUGAAACAAAUAUCCACCAAAAUCAGAUUGAAGUGUCCUAUACAAUUUAUCGGCGACUACCUUAUUAACACUAGCAUUAUCAAAAGUAAAAGAUCGAAUUUUAGUCUCGCAAUUAUAUUUCUAAUAAUACUGAUAAUAGAUUAUAUAUAUUAUUAGCAUUGUGAGGAAAUUCAAUAAUUCUAAAAGCAAUAAUUUUUUUAUGCACGCACCAAAGUGAAGAUAUAACACCCCUUUAUAUGCUCUUUUACUAAAACUAUAGUGUGCGGUUGUAACUAUAUAUGCUCUUUUAUUAACCCCUUCCCAUAUAUCAGAAGUUAAAGAUAACACCCCAUAUUGUUACAAAUUUAUAAUUAAUUAUUGUUUUGAAUGAUUGAAAUAUUGUAUUGUAUCGGCAUGAAGAAUGUUUUGACUUACCACAACGUAUAUUGGUUGCAGAUAUUCUUUCACGAAUGAGACGAAGUGUAGAUCGUCUGCAAUAGCGAGAGGCAACUCAGUGAUGGCAACAAAUUUCACCAUUCCGGUUCGAGUAUUGUCCCCCGAACACACCCACGUGGAUAGGAGUGAACUCGUAGAACCGGUGCCUGGACUGUCAAAUUGUAAUUGUGUUUGACCAGCUGGAAGAAAUCCAUAUCUGGCCGCACAUGCUUUGUAGUGGGGGUUGAGAUGGGUGGUACCAAUUCCUUUUUGCCAUGCCAACUUUUGUUGGCAGUAUGUAUAUUUUGCAAGGCCAUCGAUGACUUUUUUCGUUGAAAUCAACUUAAAGUGAUUCUAAUAUUUUGCUUAUUUUUUGCCCUUUCACUUUUCCCUUGUAUCUGGGAUAUAUAAUUCGACAUCUUCGUCCUCUUGUUCCGCUUCGGGAACAUUAAUAUCAUCCAAAUCAAUUGGAUUAUGACUUCCAUGACUGUUAAUGUGAACAUCUUUAGGUAUUGGUACGUCAUUUAGACCGGCAAAUUCAUUUGGAAAAUAUUCUUGUGCCAUCCUAGGCGAUUCGCCAUGUGACCCACAUCCUGUAUCGAAUAAGUUCUCAACAAAUGAGCAUUGAUCCAUUUGUUUGAUUGUUUAUAAUGAAAUUCAAAUAUAAUAACUAGUAAAAAUAUAAAUGUAGUGAGAAUUGAGAAUUGGAUGAAUUGAAAUUGUAACUGAGUAAACUGUAAAAAAAUGAACCGAUAUUGUAUAUUUUGCACAACAGCACAAGAGAGUAAAAACUCGAUAAUUGAUAUAAUAAAAGAGAGUUGAGAAAUGAGAAGUGAGAAUGAAGAGAUAAUUGAUAUGAAAAAAAUGGAGAGUUAAGGGGGUAUUAAUAAUUGAAGGAAAAAAAAUAAAUCAGUGACUAUUUCGGUUACUGAAAAAGUAACCUUUUUGGUCACUCAACUUAACGAGCUACAAGCCGCUCGUGGGCGAGCUACAAGGUGAGGCCCGCUAGGCUCGCAUUCGGGCUCGUGAUUUUAAGAGCCCGAGCCGUCCACGGGCCCUAUUUCGUCGACUCGGCCCUUUUAACAUCCAUAUUUCCACAAACCAAGUGAAGUUGGGAGAAAAUGCAGAGUUAGAAAAAUUUUAGACUUCCGUAGGGUUAAGGUAGGAAAUUGUCCCACAUUUUCUUUAUAGUACAUACAUCUUGUUACAUAAUGAUGUUUCCCAAAGUCCGAUUAAUUGGGUGUGUCGUGUUUUACUCAUGCAGAUGAGCGACGAGUCCUCUGCGAUUGCCUCCUUUGGUAUAGAUUGCAACUUCAUUUUAGUGUUCAACUUUGACUAAGGAUAGGACGAUGAAGUACUGCAACAGAUGGAAGAUGACACUCUUGCAUGGUUGUAAUAUUUAUGAAGAGCGGAAGGCAUAGUCCUCGAAACUUGUCACCGAAUAGAGGCAACAGAUACUUGUUUUCCAUGUCACGCAGCGGUCAUUUUUUCAUACUUCAGAAUAUGCACGUGUACUCACAAACUUGUUUCCAAGAGUUCCGCAUGUAUCCCCCUACGUUCUAGCUUUUUAUGCGUAUUCUUCGAGAUCAGCAAGGAUUAGUGAGCAUCACAAACAUCGAUAUAUACGAACAAGUUGGCAUAUUCUUUAGCACACAGAAAAUGAUAUCUUCAUGUGCAAAUGCUCUUUGAGCAUUCCUUGUAGACCAUUUCCCAUUACUUCAAAUGCGUGCUGUGAGUCGUCGUUGUGCUAGCUGCUGAUAGGAUUAGAUCACAUCACCAGUACAAUGAAGAAGGCAGACAUCACCAACCCAAUACCACCGUUUCAGGUUAGGAUGGCCGAACACUAAAUGGGAACCAAUGCGUUUGUACAACAUUUAUUGAUUCGUUAGAAGUGCCCACUAAUAAUUUGGAUUCCUGUAACAGGAGUGUAUUGGCUCGAUUGACAGAAUGCAUGUUUGAGUUGUGCUACCGCGAUAGAGGAGACAGACUUUUUUGGAAGGAAAGGAUAUCCAACUUAGAACUUGUUGGCAACGUGUGAUUUCAAUUUGUGUUUUACGUUUGUAAUGCCCGGAACUACUGGGAACAGGUACGACAGUCGUAUUUUGGCACGAUGUGUCCAUAGUCUGGAUGUAAACUUUUUGAAACUAAGGAACGAGAAAUACUACUUUGUGAACUCGGGUUUCACACAGCUGUCGUGAUACAUAGCUCCAUACAAGGGAUUUAAUGUACGAUAUUACUUUCAAGAAUUUCGGAACAGCAAUGGCAGUCGAUGGUAGGUCCUAAAUGCGUGGAAGAGGUUCAAUUUUCAUCACUCAUCUUGCCGUAACGUUAUUGAGCGAGCAUUCGGUGUUUGGAAUUAGAGAUGAAAAAUCAUCGAUCGAAUGUCUAGGUACUCGUUCAGAUCACAAACAUUUGUUGUCAUUGCAAGGAUGACUGUUCAUAAUUUCUUAAAACGACACGGAAGGUUGAACGAAGGCUUUCGCAGAGCGGAGAAAGCUGAUGACAACAAAGUUGAGGUCAAUCUACCAGACCUUGAGGACGAAAUUACGGCCGAUGACGACGCGAUUGGGGUCGAGAAUAUACCAUGGCAACAACUUUGUGAUUAUAUGGCCCAAGCACUUUGUUAAGUGUUAGGAAUAGUAGUCCCUUCAAUUUAUGUAAUCCAUUACUUGUUCAAAUAAACUACAUCGCAGAGUGAAAAAAUGUGGAAAAAACGUUUGUGUCGUGUGCGAAUGAAGCGAUAUGAAAGUGUAAAAUCAGGAAAUGAUUCACGUGAUGAAUGUAGGGGCAUUAUGGUCUUUCGAUCAUGUGUUCCGGUGUUUUUCAUGCAAAGGCAUGUGCAGUGACUUGUAACGGUACAUGCACUGCCAUUGUGGACUGAUGUAUGGGUCCCACAAUUGUUUGAAAAAUUUGGCAAAUAAAGAGAGGUAAAGGGGACCAAACGGGGAUUGAUUUCUCCCAAUACGAGAAGUAAGCAUCCGUCCAUGGUAACCAACAAUUAAACCCUUAUUUGAGCCGUAUUUUGGGGAAAAAUCUGUUUUGGAAUAGUUUUUUUAUUCCUUAGAGAAUGCGUGGUUAAAAAACAAAAGUUAAAAAAUAAAAAAAGUUUCCAAUUUACGUGUAAAAUUAUUUUAUUGUAAAACGUGUGGUUGAAAAUAAAUUUUGAAAAAAAUGAGUUUUUGAUAAAAUGAGCUCAAACAAGGACUAAGUGCUUCACCAUUACGUUGUGUCUACUUGCGUUUACUUUUUGGAAAAAUUCAUAUAUGCCUCAAUAUUAAAUAAAAUUUCACACUUUCCAGUGUGAUGGUAAAUAUAAUUAGAAAUACUAAUCAAAAUGAUAAUUACCUUUAGAAAUACUACCUUCCAUAAUUAUAUCUCACACCAUAUUCUGUAACUGAUAAAUUAUGAAUUCAACAAAUAUCACGCUUUCAAUUAAUGCACCUUCCAAAUCAGAGAUAAAUUUAAAAUUAAAGUGGGAGAGAUGCAGAUAUAUGUGGCAGACAACGUAAGGCGAAUCCUCAUCUUCCAAUUGUAUCGUUCAAGAUAUACUUCUUCGAUGGCAGUCGUUGAAGAAAUUUUUAUAUUUCGACGAAGAUAAAUUGUGUGAUGUAUAGAAUAAAAAAAGAAUGUGUGAUGUAAAUAAAUAAAAUGACUAAAUGUAUUAAUGUCUUAUAUGUGAAAUGUAGGAGAACAUUGGUUUCCACAAGUGGUUGAGAUGUCACGUGCUUAAAAAUCGCUACUUAGCAAUGACGUCGAAUAUAGUGAAGUUGGUGAAUUUUGUGAUUAAACCUUUUAAGCAUUGUGUGACAGAUUGCAUGUUCAAAUUGCAGAGGCACAUAUUACAAAGGUGAUUUUAUAAGAACCUAAGUAAUGCAAGUGAAACAUUUACGCGAUUAGCAGGCGGACAUGAAAUAUUCUAAGGUUGAAUGCUAAAUGGUCAAUGAGACUAAACGUAAAUGAACUAAAUAUAGUUUCUCGGUUUCUCGAUCUAAUAUUUUUAUCAUAUAUGUAUAUUUCAUUCCAGUUCUUUGCAGGUUUCUGCUUCUACUCAAUUCCAGUAUGAAGUCACUCACCAAUGAUGGAACAAGCACAUUGUAGACUUGACUUGUAUGAGAUGCAUAUGUAACCGUUUUCAAAUAGAUGGCGUUCCAUUUUAUUACAGUUUAGCAGUAAUGGAUGAGAAGGGAGAGCAGCCUUACAACUAAUGCUCACAUAAUAAUACGAAGGACACCUACGUGGACAUUUACUGUUACAAUCCAACUUUUAUAGUCAAAAAUUCAAAUAUUGACUAGUCAAAGUCAAAGUCAAUCAAGGACUAAAAUGAAAUUAAAUAUUUUAUUUGGGUUAUUUUGCAAUUGGCAAAAUGUAAAGGUUGAAUUGGAUAUAUUUAAAAGUUUGGAAUUUAUAUAUAUACUUUUGGAAGCUAAAGGAUUAAAUAUUACUAAAAAGUGAAGCUAAGGGAUUUAUUGUGCAAUUUUGGGUUAGUGGACCAAUUAAUUCAAACCUUUGACCCAUUUUCUCUCAUUUCACCCUAUUUCACACACACACACACACAGUAACUUACGGGAAGCAGAGACCGAGAAAGAAGAGAAAAAGAGGAAAAGAAGAAGGGAAAAAGGAAAAGAAAAAGGAAAAGAAGAAGGGAAAAAGAAGAGGAAAGGAGGUAAGGUUGAUAUCUUCAAGUUGGGUUGAAAUUUUCCAUUUGUUUUAGGUGAUAAAGUAUGAAUUAUGUUAAAAUUUUUAGGGUUUUAACUUGUUGAAUAAUAUGUCGAAUUUUAGGGAUAUUUGCACGAAUUGGAGCUCAAGUGUGGGGAUUUAUUCAUUUCAAAUUUUCAGCAAGGUAUGGAGAUGUCAAAUUUUUGGGAAAACCCUAGAAUCCGAUUUUGGGGAUUUUAAUUAAUUAAUUGUGAAGUGAUUAUGUAAAUGAAAUAUUUCACUUGGGAAUUGAUUUUAUGGAACAAAUGUAUAUUAUGUGGGUGGAAUUGUGGUUACUAGUUUCAUUAGAUUGGAGAGAAAAAUUAGUUUUAAAUUUGAAACGAUGGUUAUGUUGAUAAAUUAGUGAUUAACCAAGGGAUUAUAAGGUGUGAUUAGCUCCAAUUAAUAAAGGAAAAUUUGAGAAUUUAUUUAAGUACCAAGAGCAUUUAAAUUAUGUUCUAUUAUUAAAUAUUAAGGUUUCUUGAUUUGAUAGUGGAUAAACUGGUUAUCAUUAUCGUAUUUCAGGAGGUAACGAGGCGAUUGGAAACGUCUAUCAGCCUAUCUAGUUUGUAGCUCAUACCUUGUGAGUGGAAAAAACUUAUUUUUCAGAAAUAAGUCUUCAUUAUAUUUUAAAGUUAUUUAUUGUAUAAAGUUGACUUCAUAGCAUGAUUUUUAGAAUAACUUGGAUUUUAUUAACAAUUGCUUUUAAAAUUAAAUUCAGUUCAAUUAAAUCAUUUGACUAGCAUGUUAUAUGAAUAUAAAUGUUUCAGUAUAGCUAAAGUUAUUUUAAAACCAUUAGAAAGUACCCAGGUGAUUUUACCCCAGUUUGCACUGAUGUGAAUGUGUUUCCACAGUGUAUAACUAGUUAUAGUGAUUUUACCCUCUCUGCACUAUCGUGAAUGUGUUUCCAUAGUGUAUGACCAGAUUAUCAGAGGUCUUUGGGACCUACUCUCGUACACACAUAGGCUUUGGGCUGUGUACUAGGACGAUUAGCCUUUGGGGCAGCUCUGCGUACGUAUGACCAGAUUAUCAGAUUAUCAGCUAUCAGAUUAUCAUAUUUGAAUGGCUUUGCCUUGUACAUCGAGAUUACUCUGUACAUGAGUAAGGCUAUUCAUUGGGUACUCUUUUUGGUGUGAUUUUUCAGUAUUUAUUCUAUUAUCAGAUUUCAGAUUAUGGAAUUCAGUUAAUUUAGUUUUCAGAAUAAAGCUUUCAACUUAUGGUAUUAAGGCAGCAAUAUUUCAUAAUUUUUCAUGGAUAUCAGAGUAUUUAUAGUCAUUAUGUUAUACAGUUGCCUUUCUAGAAUUAUGUCCAAGAAAUUAUGAUAUGAUCAUGUAUAGUUUUUUUUUUAAAAGUGUUACUAUUUUUUUCAAAAGUUCUUAACGUUAAAUAGUGCACGAAUUUUCAGAAAAUAGCAUAAAUGGAAAAGUUUAUUUAUUUUCAACUAUCCACUCACUGAGUUAUAAACUCAUAUCUUUUUACCAUGUUUUCCUAUCAGGAGAAGGUCGAUUUUGAGAUAUUUGGGAAAGCCCGCUGAAGCAAAAAGAGACCGUUUUAUAAGUAUGUAAUGAAUAGUUGGGAAACUUAUGUUUAUUAAGUAAUUGUCUAAUUUUGGGUGACAAGCAUAUUCGUAGAAGGGUUUGUAAGUGAUUUAAUACUUGCAUGUUGACAAGAUGAUGUUGUAGAAGCACUCAGUCGAAUUUUGUUAUAUUUUGUAGUAGUUGUGGUGGUAUUAGAGGAAGUUGUGGUUUCCAAAACUUUUGGUUUAAAUGCCUAUUUGAGAUUUUGAUGAUUUUUCAGGUUGGUUUUAUCCAUGUUACAAGGGAAACUCUGUCAAAAUUUUCAUAGAAAUUAGCACAGUCAAAAUAGGUCAAAUUUACCUUGGUGGCGGGUCCGACAUUUAGUUGGCAUCUACUACCGGCGCACGACACGUGUCGAGUCAAUUAGGUUGAGUCGGGACGGGCCGUGUCAUUUACGUUGGUGGGAUCAUUCCAUUAGGGGGUCACAAACACUGGACGAAUCUUAAGAAUGGACACAUCCUCCCACCUAAAUCAAAGAGACCAACGGUCGAUCAAAGAAUUCUAGGAGUACAAAGCUCGAGUCCAUCAAUCCGAUCACAUGUGACAUGCGGAUGCUGCGAAGGGAAAUGUCAUAUUAAAAGAACUAAUAAGCAACCUCUGUUGUUGUGCCACGUGAGAAAACGAAAGCAUGGAUAAGAUAUCAAUUAUGUUUUUUUCUAAUCCAUUUAUGUAUUUGAUCUUUAUGCUACUACGAAAUAUAUGUAAUCAUUUUAAAUUAUGAUUUAUAUGUAAUCCUUUUACAUAUUCCCUAUAUCUGCUUGUAUAUUAAUUCGAAAUAGAGUAAUUAAAUAUGAAAUAAAUAAAACACAUGAUUAACGAAAUAUUAAAAGAAUAAAUUAAAUUGAAUAAUAUUUUUUUACCUAACCAAUUAAGAUAAUUAAUUAAAGAAAUAGUGAAAUGAAAAAUCGAAUAAAUAUUAUUAUUUUUAUUCAAAUAAAUAAUCGAAAUAAAUAAUAUACAUAAUUAACGAAAUAUUUAAAAAAUAAAUUAAAAAACAAUAAUUUUUUUACUUAACGAACUAAAAUAAUGAAUUAAAAAAAUAGUAAAAGGAAAAAUCGAAUAAAUAUUAUUGAAAUAAAUAAUCGAAAUAGAAUAAUUAAAUAUAAAAUAGAUAAAACACAUGAUUAACGAAAUAUUUAAAGAAUAAAUUAAAUUGAAUAAUAUUUUUUUUACCUAACCAAUGAAGAUAAUUAAUUAAAGAAAUAGUGAAACGAAAAAUCGAAUAAAUAUUAUUAUUUUUAUUCAAAUAAAUAAUCGAAAUAAAUAAUAUACAUAAUUAACGAAAUAUUUAAAGAAUAAAUUAAAAAGCAAUAAUUUUUUUACUUAACGAACUAAAAUAAUGAAUUAAAAAAAUAGUAAAAGGAAAAAUCGAAUAAAUAUUAUUGAAAUAAAUCGAAAUAGAAUAAUUAAAUAUGAAAUAUAUAAAACACAUGAUUAACGAAAUAUUUAAAGAAUAAAUUAAAUUGAAUAAUAUUUUUUUUACCUAACCAAUUAAGAUAAUUAAUUAAAGAAAUUGUGAAACGAAAAAUCGAAUAAAUUUGUAAAUAAUAUAUAUAUAUAUAGUCAGAUAAUUAACGAAAUAUAAUUUUUAAAUAAAUAUUAAAUAGUCAAAUAUGUGGAAAUUUUUUUGUUUAACUGUUUUAAUAUGUGAUUAGAUGAAUUUAUUUAUUGGUUUAUUAAUAUGAAAUUUGAUUGGUUAAAUUUGAAGGUACGAUAUUUUAUUUAAAAUUUCUUUUAUAUGGUUUUAACAUGUAUUAAUUUUGUAGGAUGGAAUAUCAUAUCGACAACGAUCUGAGGGCUCAUUCGGGAAAAGUUACGACGUAUUGUAACUUUUCCAGCUAUGCGACGGUACUUGAGGGGCUGGACGAGGAGGAUAUUGACUUACUCCGUCGAUCGUUUUUAUGGUCGUUCUAUCCGUUGAAGGACGUGCAGUUCUCUGGACAAAUUGUUGAUUCUUUAUUACUCCGGCUGCUUAAACCAGUCGAUGGCGAUCAGUUAUAUUUUGCUAUUGGGGACGGGAAGGUAUGUAGAUUCUCGAUCCUUGAAUUUGCCCUGAUUACGGGCUUGAGAUAUAUCGGGGAAGAAGAAGUUAGAGCCCGUAUUAUACGAAAUAAAAGGUUAUUGGAUUUAUAUUUUGGAGGUAAAGGGCCAGUUACACCACCACAGUUAGAGGACGCAUUUAGGAAAUGCGAUCACCUGUUAGACAAGUUGAAGUUAGGGUUGGUGUAUAUACUGGAGAAUAUAUUGAGGUGUCGACAUCGUAGGACGUCGAUUGAUCUUUUUUCAUUGGAUGUUGUUGAUGAUAUCGAUGCUUUCAACAGCUUUCCAUGGGGUCAGAGAUGUUACACCGAUACUCUCCAUGUAUUCAGAAGGGUACACACUAUGCCGAAAUCGGAGAGGGGCGAUCGCAAAUAUGAUGUAUAUGGCUUUUGCAUGGCUUUGCAGGUAAAUAUUCAGUGUAACGUAAUGCGUGUUGAACUUUUUUAUUAAAUGUAUAUGUAAAGUUUUAUUUUGUAAUUGUUGCAGUUGUGGGCAUAUGAGGCUAUCCCUGCUUUGGGUAGCAAAUGGGCGAUCAAAAGGGAGACCAGCUGCCCACGAAUGCUUCAUUGGCGAGCACAUGAAAAGCCAUCGGCUAAAGAUUUGAUAGUUAUCCUCGACGAUCCUCAGGUGAGUAUUAUAUAUUUGCAAUUUAUAUUGUACAUACAUUUACUCGGGUCGAUACAUGUUCGUUAACACGUUGAAAUAUGGUAUGUCAGCUCGAAGUUCAUGCUGAGUUGGUUGUCUCGGUGGAAAAGGAGGAUGCAAUAUAUGUACGUGAAUUACUUGUUCCCCCUACUGAAGACGAUCCAGUAUUUGAGUCCGUUCCGAAUAGAAAUAUAAUACGUUUAUUUAAGUUCAUUAUUUAUUUUGAUUUAUAAAUUCAUGUGUGGAUUAUUAAUAUUAAUUGUCUUCUCUGUGUAGGAGCGCCAUCCGGAACUUCCACUUAGCAGAUCUCCUUCGCCUCCACCGAUGAGAUCUCCGUCACCUCCACCGAUGAGAUCGCCUCUACCGCCAUUAUCUCAUUCUCCGAGGAUAUCUUCGUCUCCCAUACCCACCCACCUCCCACAUGGAUCGCCUACACCCAGUCAGACCCGUCAUUCAAAUGAUUUCUUUGCACGCAUGACUGGCAUUAUUAGAGAAGAGCUGGGAACGAUGCGACGUGAUUUUAUGACAGAGGUAGUCGCAUUACGAGAGGAGAUAGGGGUAUUACGACGGGAUUUUACGACAGAGAUCGUCGCAGUACGAGAGGAGAUAGGGGUGCUGCGACGAGAUUUUACGACAGAUGUAGUAGCUUUGCGAGAUGAGAUUGGAGUGCUGCGACAAGAUAUAGGAGACCUUCAUACUGAGGUUGCAGCACUUCGAGACGAUGUAGCAGGCGUCCGAGGGAAUGUCGGGGAGACUGGUGUCCCUCGAGAUUGGUGGGCAACGGCCGGGAGAAUCGAUGAGUUUUUUGGUUCGGUGCUGGAGGCCGAGAGGGAAGGGGUGGAGGUCGGGCAGGAGGAGGCCGGGAUGCUCGGGAUGGAGGUCGGGCCGGAGGUGCCGGAGGAGGCAGAGAUAGAGGGGGUGGAGGGAGGGACAGGGGUGGCCGAGGAGGUAGCGGAGGGGACAUCAGAGGUGGUAGUAGAGGGGGAUGAUCAGGUUGCGGAGGAUGAGAGGACGCCGGAGAUGACGGAUGACGAGGUAGUAUUCGUGUCUGAGGGGGCGACGGAGGUCUCGAAGGGUAAGAAGUGUGCUGCUGACGCGCCAGAGCUGAUGGUCGGUAAGAGAUCAAGAUUGCCGUCACAGUACGUCGUUUCUCCCUACACGGUCGAGGCGAAGAGAAGGGGAUUUGUGGAUGGGGCGUACCCCAAUCUUUUUCGCGACGUCGACCCAGUCAGACAGAAGGCGUUCGAUGAUUGGUUCAAAUCCCUUAAGUUCGAGUAAGUAUUUUAUGAUGUUGCUACUAUUUUUUUGUAUCUUUGAUAACUGUUUUUUCAUUUUUCAGAGAUAGUUAUACCAUCGGCUGUAUGACCGUGCACAAUGCUAAAAAGUGGUUUGAAGAUGUACUGACGACCUCAGUUUGGCUCGCUGAUGAUGUAAGUUUUUUGAGUUUUCGUUUAUUAUAUUUAUACAAGUUGUUGGUUCAUUUACUUAAAUGACUCUAUCUUUUUUGUUGGUGUUUUUUUGUUUCAGCAUAUCGACUUGGCUAUGGAAUUGUUACGUGAUCGGGCGCAGAGAUACCCGAGAUCUUAUGACAGUCCUACUCGAGUUAUCUUGAGCGCUGAGUUCGUUCGUGUCGUAGAUAUUGAGCAUCAGGAGCUCCUAAGCAAGGGGAAUGAUUAUGUUCUGUCUGAGUACAUGCUGGAGUGGGUGAUUGGACUACAGUUGAGGUGCGGAAAGCCGUGGACGGAUUGUACACAUAUGUACAUUCCAGUGAUCACGAACUCACACUGUUUUUCGGUGGAGAUCGUAUUUGCUGAUUCCACCAUAUAUGUGUAAGAUUCUGAUCAUAGCUGUCUGACACAAGGUCAAUUGGAGCAAAUACUGGAGCCAUUGACUGUGAUCGUGCCCAUGAUGGCUAGUCAUGAGAUGAUUCGAGUAAAUGAUAGAUUAGCCAUUGUGCGGAACACGACGACGGCGAGACAAGAAAGAUCGUAAGGAUUUACAACUUUUAAAUUUUCAGAUUUAAUUUUCAAUUAUAUGUUAUGGAACUAAUAUCUUCUACUUCGGUUGCAGGGGUGACUGUGGCUUAUUUGCAAUCAAGUACAUAGAGUUCUUGAGCAUUGGUCGCAAUGUUGAUACAAUAAAUUAGUCUUGGAUUGAUAUGUGGAGACAUAAAUUAGCUUGCGACUUGUAUGAAUAUAACUGUGAUCCUUAGUACAUUGUAAAUUAUUUUAUUAAAAUGUAAAUGUUGUUUACUUCAGUAGGAUUCGUGUUGUACUGAAAGAAAUAAAUAAUCGAAAUAGAGUAUAUUGUAUGAUAUUAUUUUAAAAAUUUAAAUGAUAAUCGGGAAUUAAAUGGACUAAAUCGGAUGCAAUUGGAAAAAAGUAAAAGGAAAAAUCGAAUAAAUAUUAUUCAAAUAUGAAAUAAAUAAUAUACAUAAUUAACGAAAUAUUUAACGAAUAAAUUAAAAAANNNNNNNNNNNNNNNNNNNNNNNNNNNNNNNNNNNNNNNNNNNNNNNNNNNNNNNNNNNNNNNNNNNNNNNNNNNNNNNNNNNNNNNNNNNNNNNNNNNNNNNNNNNNNNNNNNNNNNNNNNNNNNNNNNNNNNNNNNNNNNNNNNNNNNNNNNNNNNNNNNNNNNNNNNNNNNNNNNNNNNNNNNNNNNNNNNNNNNNNNNNNNNNNNNNNNNNNNNNNNNNNNNNNNNNNNNNNNNNNNNNNNNNNNNNNNNNNNNNNNNNNNNNNNNNNNNNNNNNNNNNNNNNNNNNNNNNNNNNNNNNNNNNNNNNNNNNNNNNNNNNNNNNNNNNNNNNNNNNNNNNNNNNNNNNNNNNNNNNNNNNNNNNNNNNNNNNNNNNNNNNNNNNNNNNNNNNNNNNNNNNNNNNNNNNNNNNNNNNNNNNNNNNNNNNNNNNNNNNNNNNNNNNNNNNNNNNNNNNNNNNNNNNNNNNNNNNNNNNNNNNNNNNNNNNNNNNNNNNNNNNNNNNNNNNNNNNNNNNNNNNNNNNNNNNNNNNNNNNNNNNNNNNNNNNNNNNNNNNNNNNNNNNNNNNNNNNNNNNNNNNNNNNNNNNNNNNNNNNNNNNNNNNNNNNNNNNNNNNNNNNNNNNNNNNNNNNNNNNNNNNNNNNNNNNNNNNNNNNNNNNNNNNNNNNNNNNNNNNNNNNNNNNNNNNNNNNNNNNNNNNNNNNNNNNNNNNNNNNNNNNNNNNNNNNNNNNNNNNNNNNNNNNNNNNNNNNNNNNNNNNNNNNNNNNNNNNNNNNNNNNNNNNNNNNNNNNNNNNNNNNNNNNNNNNNNNNNNNNNNNNNNNNNNNNNNNNNNNNNNNNNNNNNNNNNNNNNNNNNNNNNNNNNNNNNNNNNNNNNNNNNNNNNNNNNNNNNNNNNNNNNNNNNNNNNNNNNNNNNNNAUUAACGAAAUAUGUAAUGAAUAAAUUAAAUUGAAUAAUAUUUUUUUUACUUAAACAAUUAAAAUAAUUACUUAAAGAAAUAGUAAAAGGAAAAAUCGAAUAAAUAUUAUUCAAAUAAAUAAUGGAAAUAGAGUAAUUAAAUAUGAAAUAAAUAAUAUACAUAAUUAACGAAAUAUGUAACGAAUAAAUUAAAUUGAAUAACAUUUUUUUUACUUAAACAAUUAAAAUAAUUACUUAAAGAAAUAGUAAAAGGAAAAAUCGAAUAAAUAUUAUUCAAAUAAAUAAUGGAAAUAGAGUAAUUAAAUAUGAAAUAAAUAAUAUACAUAAUUAACGAAAUAUGUAACGAAUAAAUUAAAUUGAAUAAUAUAUUUUUUAAUUAACCAAUUAAAAUAAUUACUUAAAGAAAUAGUAAAAGGAAAAAUCGAAUAAAUAUUAUUCAAAUAUGAAAUAAAUAAAAUACAUGAUUAACGAAAUAUUUUUUUUACUUCACCAAUUAAGAUAAUUAAUUAAAGAAAUAGUAAUCUCUCCAUAUUGUUAGUUAAUAUAUAUAUCGUUGUCUCACUUAUUUUAAAAGAAAACAAACAAAUACAUGACACAUAGAAAAUACAUAUGACAAAUGUGAUAAAAAUAAAAAGAGUAAUUAAACAAUGUGAUAAAGAUUACAUCCGAUUUCAAUUCAGAAAAUCACAAACACAUGACAAAUAGAGAAUACAUAUGAUUUAUAUAGAUACUACACAUCCGUCGAGUCAUUGUUUAGUGGAAUCUGGCUUGUACAAAAUCGACGUGUAUGUCCUGUAGCACCGCACCUCCCGCACUUACACGGUUGUGGAAACUCUCCUGUAGAUGGUAUUCUAGACGUCCGUCUACGACCAGGAGUAUGCGGUGGAGCUUCAGGUGGCAAUAAAUUAUUAAGUGCUACAAUAUAAUCAGGAACUUCCCACUCGGCUUCAUUUGGUAGAGGAAAUAUAGUUUCGGCAUACGCUGCUCUCCAAAAAUCAGUCAUAUAAUAAUGACUGCACAAGCUGUGUGGUGGAAAUCCUCUAUACAUAGCCACUGCGACAGCAUGUGCACAUGGAAAACUUUCCAACUGAAAUUUUCUGCACGUGCAGGUAUUGUCAUUCAAGUCUACAAUGUAUCCAACAUUGCGCCCGCAUCUCACGAAGAAGCGAAAUUGAUCUAGUGGUUCCACAAAUAGAGCUUUUGCCACUUCCAGAGUUUUGAAUAGUCGAUCUUCCUGUGCCGGAGCUAUCACACUCGUGCAAUUUUGGGAUUCUUCACGUCGGUCAUAAAACCACUGUUGCAACUUGCUGCAAAUAUGUUCAAUCAUUGCGAGAAUCAGUAACUCUCAAUCCUUCUUGAAUAAUGCAUUCAGCGACUCUGCAUUAUUCGACGUCAUCAUGUUGUAUCGACGUCCUAGAAAAUGUGACCGUGCCCAAUGUUCAACCCCCAUUUCUGAUAGAUAUUCCCAUGCACUUUCUGAUUUAUGUUCUAUUUCGCCCAUGAACUUUGUAAACUCUUCAAAGCUGUAAGCUUCUGCAGCUCUCCUAAACAAUGCAACGAUGCCACUGCCCCGGUACCUAGUCUUCAGAUUGCCCUGAAUGUGGUACAUGCAAUAACCAUGAUGUGCUUCUGGAAAAACUUCGGCUAUACCAUUUAUUAUUGACUGCCCCCGGUCAGUCACAAAUGCAAGGUUCUCGAUGUUCCCAAUUACUUCUCUCAACUUCGUGAAGAACCAACGCAUUGCUAGAUCAUUCUCUCCAUCGACUUUGCCAAAUGCAAAAGGGUAAAUUUGGAAAUUGGCAUCUUGACAAGUAGCAAUAAUCAACUUUCCUUCAUAUUUAGCUCUUAAGGUUGUACCAUCAACUAGAAUUAGAGGUCGCAUAGCAUUUCGAAAACCUCUAAUGCAUUGUCCAAGAGCCAUAAAAAAAUACUUGAAGCGAUUCUGCCCAUCGGUUUCAAUAAAAAACGUCGAGUCAGAAUUAGUUCUCACCAUGUUGUGGCAAUACCUGGCCAAUUUGGCAUAACUCUCCUCUGUCGAACCCAUUAAAUCUUCCAAUGCACAUUCUUUAGCCUUCCAGGCCUUCUGGUAACUCAUAACCACCCCAUACUCUCGACGGAUGUCGUUGAUGAUAUCUGUAGGUCUGUAAAUCGUCCGUGGAUCAUGAAACUUGUGCAUUAUCUGUCGACCAAUAAACCAUGAUCGAGCUUGCCUGUGAUCAUUUUGACGAAUACCCACUUCACAAGUAUAUUCCCGCGCAUACUUACGAAUAACAAAGAACUCAUUUGUGUCCAUCUUUGUCGCACUCAAAUGCCAACUGCAAUUGUUGUCCACACAAAUAAUUGUGUAUGUAGACUUAUUUAAUUUUUUUACCUUAAACUCAAAAUUAUGUUUCAUAGCAAUUCGGUGCACCGCUUCUUGCAAAUCUCUUUUCGUGUCAAACAAUUGAUCGACAUGUAAAUCUUCAUCAUCAGGAACUACACGCGAACAAUUAGAAGACCGUGUACUCGGCCCAGCAUGUGAGCUCCCACCAGACUCAUGUCUCUGUCUGGAUAAAGCAAUCAAAUCCUGAUUUGUAAAUGGCCUUUCAUCCUCGUUGUCUUGAACUUCCUCGUAAAUCCUUCGUGUAACGGUGACAUCAUGGUGAGUAGCAACUGCCCCAGGAAUAACCACAUCAUCCUCCCGAGCAAUCUCAACAGUAUCCCAAAAAUCAUUCUCAUUACGAUCCUCUCCAUCAAAAACUUCGUGUUCACCCUCGAUGACAUUUUUCUUCAACAAACUUACGCAAAUAGGAGUCGUCUUUCGACCUUGGUUCAAUUGAAUUAGAUGCUUUAUUUGCGCUUCAGAAGUAACUUUCAAAGGUGGAAUCGAAAUUGUUGAAUGCUUUUGAAAUAAAAAUCCCAAUUCCAUAUCGUACUGAGAGGAAUCGACGUUAAGCAUGUUUAGUAUUUCACUGUACAUUUCUGUAAACGAAGUAUUUUUUGUUAUCGAAAUAGCAGCAACCCCUUCUCCUUCACUCGUCCAUUUCCAUUCCCAUUGACCAUUUUCUUUCCUUUGAAAUUCGCCGAAAUAACAGAUUGGGACACACGCUUUUGCCAUAUCUGCAUUACGAAUUAAAAAUAUCAGAACAAAUUAUCAGAAAUAAAAUUAUCAGAAUCGAGGGGCGGGGGAGUCUGCAAACAGACGGUCCGGUCCGUCUGUAACGGACGGUCCGGAUGUAAAAUCCGGCGUUCCGGCGUCUGAUCGGUGCCGGCCUGAACUUUGGUUCUAAUAUUAUUUUUUCUACCAUUUAAAAUAAAUAUACGAUUUGAAUAAAAAUAAAAUUAAAUACUACGGAAAGAUACUUACCGAAUUGAAGUGCUGAAAUUUAAUUAAAUUUUUCUGUUGAGGUUGAUAACUGAUAAGUUUAUGAAAUUUUGAGGUUGAAGUGGAUGAAAAAUGGAAGAGUUUUUAUCGUGUUAGAGUAAACUGAUGAAAAGACUGACUUCGUUUUCAAAUUUCAAUUGAGCCUUGUUUGGAUUUUUAUUUGUAACUUAAGGAUAUUUUUAUCUUUUUACCAUAUUUCUAUUUUUGUAAUUAUAUAACUCAUUUAAGGGCGUUUUUAUCUUUUACACAAGAAAUGGCUAUUGUAAUGAAUGUUAGAUUUUUAUGAUUAAAAUGAAAAAUGAUUAAUUUGACAAAGUCAAACUUAAAAGUAGCCCGUUAUAUUAUUUUGUUGUAGUAAUGGCUGUAGAUUAGUUAGGGUGAGAAGGGAGGAGAACUCAUCAAUUGAAGGCAAAAUUAAUUUUUUCCCCUACUAUUUUCUCUUUCUUUGUAGCAUUGGCUUCCUCUCAAAUACCAUAACGCAAGGAGUGACAUUGCAGAUAGAUAUCUACAAAAGAUAGAUGGUGGCACAAGAAGGCUUGCCUAUUAAUUUUUCCAUGAGCUCGUACGCAUUAAGAUGCCGAUACCUGCUAUUUUCAUCAAUUUUCUACAAAGAUUACGGAAGCUCCUUUAAAUUUUCUGUGUUGGAAUCUAUAUGUUGGUAAUAAUUCAUUUGUUUUCUUUUAUUUCAAUUUGAAGGCGUGAUUAUCUGAAUAGAUUGUGUCCGGGCAACUCUAAUGAGAAAUUCAGAUCUAAAGUUCCUACAAGAAGGUAUCUCGCUACCUGUUUAAUAGAAUUUAUCUGCUGGUGAUGAAUACUGUUUGUACACUAAUGAGGCACAUUUUCAAUCAAAAGAUUUUUUUUUUGAAUUGUUUCAGAUACACUAGAAAAUUCGAUUUGUUGUUGUUCAUCUUGUUUCUAGAAAUUUCCUUGCUACAUUCUUGAAUGUUUCCGUUGAUUGAUAUAUUACUAUUCACAAGCAUUCCAAAGUAGACCUGUUUGUGAAUGUAUGGAUGAGAAGAAAGUUGGAAAGUUCUCCGGGCACUUGAGUUGACUUUAUAUUCAGUUUCUCAUGAAUAGUGUUUUCACAUGUCUAUCUUUUGCUCUCAACAGAUUAUUGACAUUUAGAAUCAUAAUUUGGCACUGAUAAUAUCACUAGAUGGUAGUUUUGUUGCGUCUAUGGUAGUAUUUCUCAGCGCUUCAUGGACAUUUUCAUUUUAUUGCUUCACCUCAUUUCUUGAAUUACCCUUUUAGUUGAACUUGUAUCCUCGUGAAUUCAAUUUCUCUUAUCAUCCAUUUGCUACAGCCAUAACAAUGACUAAUCUGGAUAAUUGUUAACGUGCCUUUGCUUUUCCAUAGGAAAACAUUGCAUGAUACUUGCAAUUGUCUUUACACCUGUAUAUGAGUUAAAAAAUCUUCAUUUUGUAUGUGAUGUUUCAGGUUUUUGGAGACUUUGCCAUUGAAAGAACGGUGCAAAACUUGGCGUCUUGAGGUCUGUUCCUACUAACUUUGAUCUCAAAGCCGUAUUCUAUCCUUCUGGUCACUCCUUACAUGUAUAACAUGGAUUAAACAGCAAUUUCAGUUUGAUUAUUUCUUUCUUUUUUUUCCUUUUUUUUUUUUUGCGCGAUUGAUGUAUGAAGUUGAUGGAACAUGGUUCUCCAAAUCAUGGAUUUGACGCUCUAAAGCACCUAGCUCUAGAUGAUUCUGUUGAAGAAGUUUUGGAAGUCCUGCAGGAAUAUGCUCGAUUAGUCCAAGGACUGUGGGUUCCAAAGAGUUCGCUGGUACAUGGAACAGAUUCAGGAAUUGAAGUUUGAGCCAGGGUCUAUAUUCUUCUAUUGUUUAGAAAGAAUCCACUAGUUAACGAUUGACAAAUACCUCAACGUCCUCAACUUCCUAAAGCAAUGAAAGACUUCCUAAAUGUAUUGGCUGUUGAGAGACCCAUCCUCCUUCAGUGAUUGGCAACUCAGAGAGCUUCCCGAUCGAAGAUUCAUAAAACUCAAUCCUACUGUUGCAAAGAAACAAGAAGAAGAAUGGGAAUCCUUGGAAAAGAAGACAAAUGAUCCUCUGUUUGGAGGAAGAAACGAACCUAGUACAAAGACUUCUUCAAAGUCUAAUGUCAUAAACAAUCCGGCCACGUCAAUGAGUUCCAGUAAAUUAGCUCUCAAAACUCCAAAUGAGGAAUCCUCGAGGACGCCAAUGCCAGAGACUUGAGAAGCUUUAAUGAAGGCCCUUUAGAACCUUUUAAAAGGCAUCAAGGUUUGCAGGUGAGAUCACUUUAUUACAUCAAGCCCUUAGUUUCAAAUAGUAGUUAUAUGUGGUCAUAGUUUCAAAUAGUAGUUAUAUGUGGUCAUAUUUUUUAUUGAAGAUAGUUUUCGUCACUGCAUUGACGUUUUGUAUUCUAAAUCACUAGGUCACAGUUAUAUUGCAUUUUAUUUGAUUAGUAUUUGUCGAUUUUCUUUGCAUGCAGUAAGUGCUGAUGUGACCUUGACAUUCAUGGCCUUUUCUGGCCCUAGCUCAUUAAAAAAAUUGAGACAUGGUAUAGUAACUAGAAGAGAUGAGGAAGACGAGUGGUCUUGUGAAUUAUUUCUCUGCUUGCACUUAGGACACUAGUAGGAUUACAUUUUUGCAUUAACUGGGCUGGAGCAAUUGACACUGUUUAACAAAAUGCCAAUGGACCAUAUUUAAACAUUUUUUUGUUAUUAUUACUUUUGUAUUACUUAUAUUCUUAAUGCAGAGGCAAAGAAACUAGUUUGAAUUUUCUUAUUUAAUUAAAAUUUAUUUAAGCUAAUGUGCCCUUUAAUCUAGGAAACAUAGGAGUGUUAUGGUUUUCCUGUGGCAGUUUAGUUUGAUUGUCAAUAGAUGGAAUUUACUUGGCGCUAUGUAUGCCAGUUUUCAACAAAUUUGCCAGCGUUUGAAGGACUUGGCAGAUUCUGAGUCCGCCCGUUCCAGGGGAUUUGCCAAAGAGACAGUUGCUGCAGCAAACAGCAUUUGUGCUUUUCCUGAUGAGCUUCAGGCAAUCAUUAGUCGAUUUGCAUUUGAUAUUCAUGGUGUCUAUGUUCCGAAAUCAUUUCCAGAUCAUCCACAAUAUGAUCCAUUCAGGUUACACCUGCCUUCAUUUAUUUUGGUUCUAGAACAUUGAUAUUUUUCUUUUAUUAAGUUCUCUUUAUAAGAAAGGAUCACCAUUUUAUAUCGUUCAUUAUUGAUUUGUGGUUCUUUCUCUUCCAGGAAGGUUGUCAUUGAUCUUCUUAUUGCUGAAGGACCAAAAGCAAAACUCAAAGAGGUUCCCAUAGUCGAGGCUGCUAAGAUGGAACUUAAAAGGGAUAUACCUCAGAUUGGAUAUCAGAAGGUCAGAGUCAAGCUUACAGAUUAAUUAUGAUGAAAUUGUAAUUAGGUGUUGAGAUCAAAUACGCUGUCUCCUUGACACCAUUCAGGCGAACUUACUAUUUCCUGAAAUUUUUUUAAUUAGGUUUUGAUUAAUUUUUGAGGCCUUACGAAAGCACAAACAAGAUUGAGAAUCUGAGGAGAUUGUCACAGGAGAUAUAGGAGAUUACCACUCUCAUUGUGUGGGGGUUUGUGGUUGGGAGGGAGGUAGCCCUAUUUGCCUUGCCCUUAAUCUAGCAUCUAUCUUACCUGCCUAUCAUGACAGCUCCCAAUGUUUUUCCUUCCUAUGAAAGAUUCUUAAGCGUCGCUCAACCUUUGUCACUCACUUCUUUUAAAUGAGCACUUAAUCUAGCAUUAUUCUCAUGAGAGGAAGCUAAGCAAUGGAAUUAUAAAGCAGAGAAAUGUGUAGUGAAUAUACUUUUGAGAGCUGGUGAUAUGUGAUGUGAGGAAAGAUAUAUUAUGCUUGCUCCUAGAAGUUUCCCCAUGCAUAUGCUCUUAGAAUUCCCUCAAUAAUUUAGAAUACUCUUAGUGACCACUGAGCUAAUUUUCUGAUUCUCGUGUGACUGUCUCAAGUCAGACCUCCUUGUGGGAAAAAUAUAUAUACACAUGGUUUCCUAAGCACACAGUCUUAUAGUUUCUUAUAAGCUUCCUAUGCAGAACCUUAGUUACUAGGAAGAGAACAGAGAUAUUUUACUGGUCAUGUCCCCUUCACUGUCACCCUUGAUAUGUUCCAGCACUACAAGAUAAAUAUUAAUUGACCUACUGAGCCUCUUGUCCUCUUCCCUAUUAUCGUCGAUGGAAGCCUCAAUGACUUAUUUGUGAUAAAUUGCUUGCUAAUUUAGGUUAUGUAUUCCCUUAUGUGCUGCAGGUUUUACAGGAACUAUGUCUAUCACAAGGUUUUGAAUGGGUCCUUAAAAGUGGCGAUGGAAAUCCACAAAAGUAAAGUUCAUGCAACCAAAUUCUACGUUAGUCUACGAGGUAAGAAUUAGCAUAUUUACUAUGUAUUACGAUAAGUAAUAAAGUAGACACAUCUCACCACAAGACUUAAUGGAAAAUUUCUAAAUUGCAUGAAAUUCUUGAGCUUUGUGUUCAAGAAAGAAAAUCUCUGCUUAUUCUGUUUACAUGGAUCAUUGUGAUCUGUUGUUGUUUGUCUGAAUUUACCCUUAAGUGCCUUGGUAAUCGAGUUGAUGUGAUGUCUGAGUUUUGCAUUUUGAAAAGAGGAUUUACAUCGUUCCUUGAAGUUAUAUCAGUGCAUAGCAUCAGUUUAAAUCAUCCUUGAAUAUUGCCUAAUUGAUUCUCAUCACAUAUUGGAAUUUGAAAAGUUAAUAGGUCUGUUUAAUGUAAACGCAGAAGUACAUAUACACAGAACAAGGAAUGUGUGUUUACAUAUACGUAUUUGUGUUUAAACUACUAUUAAGAUGGCUGAGGUACAAAAGUCAUUUGUUGAAAAUGGUAAGGAACCUGUUUCUUUGGAAGCAGCAAGGGAUGUAUUCUUGAUAUCUCGAGUGGCUCUUUGAACAUUCAACCUUCAGUGCAGCUAUGAUGAUUUAAAAUAUACAAAGGAUACCAAAUACACUGGGGAUGAGUCUUCCAUGUAAUUAAACACAUUAAUAUAUACCAUCAGAAAUAAUAUUUUGUUAAAUAUAUAUGAUUUCAUGCUGCUACAAUAUUGUAUCCUUCUGUUAGCAUUAAUUCUUUUUCCCUUUAAAAUGUUCGGCCUUAUUGUCACUUGUCAAUACCGUGGUUCAUCCAAACAAUUCAUAUUUGAUAUUGACGAAAACGAAAAAUUAUAAUGACUUGCAAAUGUAUUAAUUCUCUUAAAUGAAUUAAAGAACCUUAGUGCUACAACCUGACUCGUGGUCGUGGUUGUCGUAUUCAAUUUAAUUUUGUGCUCCCAACCCUUGUACCUAAGUCGAAGUGAUGCAGUAGACACCUCGUGCUAUCAGAAUUUUCUUACGAGUGCCUUUGGAAAUUAAAAAAUUCCCUCAAUAAUUUAGAAUACUCUUAGUGACCACUGAGCUAAUUUUCUGAUUCUCGUGUGACUGUCUCAAGUCAGACCUCCUUGUGGGAAAAAUAUAUAUACACAUGGUUUCCUAAGCACACAGUCUUAUAGUUUCUUAUAAGCUUCCUAUGCAGAACCUUAGUUACUAGGAAGAGAACAGAGAUAUUUUACUGGUCAUGUCCCCUUCACUGUCACCCUUGAUAUGUUCCAGCACUACAAGAUAAAUAUUAAUUGACCUACUGAGCCUCUUGUCCUCUUCCCUAUUAUCGUCGAUGGAAGCCUCAAUGACUUAUUUGUGAUAAAUUGCUUGCUAAUUUAGGUUAUGUAUUCCCUUAUGUGCUGCAGGUUUUACAGGAACUAUGUCUAUCACAAGGUUUUGAAUGGGUCCUUAAAAGUGGCGAUGGAAAUCCACAAAAGUAAAGUUCAUGCAACCAAAUUCUACGUUAGUCUACGAGGUAAGAAUUAGCAUAUUUACUAUGUAUUACGAUAAGUAAUAAAGUAGACACAUCUCACCACAAGACUUAAUGGAAAAUUUCUAAAUUGCAUGAAAUUCUUGAGCUUUGUGUUCAAGAAAGAAAAUCUCUGCUUAUUCUGUUUACAUGGAUCAUUGUGAUCUGUUGUUGUUUGUCUGAAUUUACCCUUAAGUGCCUUGGUAAUCGAGUUGAUGUGAUGUCUGAGUUUUGCAUUUUGAAAAGAGGAUUUACAUCGUUCCUUGAAGUUAUAUCAGUGCAUAGCAUCAGUUUAAAUCAUCCUUGAAUAUUGCCUAAUUGAUUCUCAUCACAUAUUGGAAUUUGAAAAGUUAAUAGGUCUGUUUAAUGUAAACGCAGAAGUACAUAUACACAGAACAAGGAAUGUGUGUUUACAUAUACGUAUUUGUGUUUAAACUACUAUUAAGAUGGCUGAGGUACAAAAGUCAUUUGUUGAAAAUGGUAAGGAACCUGUUUCUUUGGAAGCAGCAAGGGAUGUAUUCUUGAUAUCUCGAGUGGCUCUUUGAACAUUCAACCUUCAGUGCAGCUAUGAUGAUUUAAAAUAUACAAAGGAUACCAAAUACACUGGGGAUGAGUGUUCCAUGUAAUUAAACACAUUAAUAUAUACCAUCAGAAAUAAUAUUUUGUUAAAUAUAUAUGAUUUCAUGCUGCUACAAUAUUGUAUCCUUCUGUUAGCAUUAAUUCUUUUUCCCUUUAAAAUGUUCGGCCUUAUUGUCACUUGUCAAUACCGUGGUUCAUCCAAACAAUUCAUAUUUGAUAUUGACGAAAACGAAAAAUUAUAAUGACUUGCAAAUGUAUUAAUUCUCUUAAAUGAAUUAAAGAACCUUAGUGCUACAACCUGACUCGUGGUCGUGGUUGUCGUAUUCAAUUUAAUUUUGUGCUCCCAACCCUUGUACCUAAGUCGAAGUGAUGCAGUAGACACCUCGUGCUAUCAGAAUUUUCUUACGAGUGCCUUUGGAAAUUAAACCUUAUAUGUGGUAUCGUGUUUGCAGGUGCUACACCAUUAUUAUACUUCUCUGCCAACUUUAUUUAUUCACUAUCUGGAAUUCUAUUUGGCCGGAUUAGGUCACCAGAGUAUGAUUUGCUAUCUAGCAUGAUCUUGUAUGCAGUGAUGAUCUCAGACCAUAGGAAGGCAGGCAAGAUAAAGAAAAAGACAAUAGAUCUCGAAAUUUAACUUCGUUUACAUAUAUGGUUAUUCAUUGUAAAGCUAAAUUAGUCUCUAAGCCAAGGAUCGAUGAGUCUUUUCCUUGUGUUCGUAUUUGUUGACUGGGCAUUGUAAGAAUCUUUUUAGAGGGUAAUUUUUCAUGUCCAUUGCUUCUAAUGGGCUCUUCUCUCAACAUUGAUAUAGGGUAUAAUAUUGAAAUGUUGUGAACUCUUUAAGUCCCUCAAAGAAACCCAAAUGUCGAGUUGUUUAAUGGCUUGUUUGGUUGGACUUUGAAAAAGUCAAAGCUGUUUAUAAGAUUAUCGAUGUUUUUGGAUAAUUUUUAGAAAAUGAUUUGACUGGUUUGAUGAGCUUUUUAAAAUUGAUAACUUUUUACAAGUAAAAGUCUUGUCAAACAGGUGUUAAAGUAUAAGUCCUGUUAAUUGAGUUGAGUGAGGAUUAGUUUGUUCUACUAAAAUGUGCUUUUUACAAUAAAAAGUGGACUAAAGUAGAUCAUGAUAAAUUGAUCUAUAAAUAGCCCAUCUAACUUUAAAAAAAUCGAGUCAUUUUUACAUUGACAUUCAGUGCUUGUUUGGGAAAGUUAAACGGUUGAUUUUGUUAAAAGAAGUGGAAGGUCUUUUGAAAUGAGUGGUGGAAAAGAGAGUAAUACUGGUGAAUUUUGUGUAAUGUAAGAUUACUAUUAAGGGUGGUUAUAUUAUCAUCACAAUAAGUGUUUGGUGCCCUAUAAUUUUCUUAUUUAUUUUAAAAAAUCACUAGUAAAAUGACAUAAGUACCCUAUCUUUUAUUCACUAAUAUAUUUAUUCAUAUGAUCACUAUCAUCCGCACACAAAAAAAUACCUAAAGUCCUAUUUAAAGAUACAAAUGCCAAGAUCAAAAGAUCCAAGAUUGAGGAAAAGAGCAAGAAAUUUUAGGAUAUGGUAUAGGCAUUUUAUAAUAUUGAAUCUAUUAUUUUAAAAGUUCGCUAUAUUUUUCUGAAGAAACUCGUCAUUAUUGUAGAAUAUGCCAUUAUACAACCUGCAAGAGGCAUUGGAUUUGGAGGCUAAAUGUUAUAACCCACUCACUCAUAGUCAAAGUCAAGAAAAUUAUUUAGUCAAAGUCCGAAAUUCAAUUGGUUAAAGUCAAUUUCAAAUAGGGAUUUAAAUGAAAUAAAUUAUUUUAUUGGGGUUUAAUUUAUUAUGAAAAAUAGUUAAAGGUUUAAAAUGGAUAAAACUUAAUUUUAGGGAUCUACUUAUAUAUUAUUGGAAGUAAAGGACUAGAUGCUAUAUUAAAUUGAAGAAUAAGGACUUCCUAUGCAAAAAUGGGUUGUGGAGUGCAUGUGACAAGUAAUUAACCCAUUACUAUUUUCAUAUAAUAAAUACAUACCGAGAGAUGAGGCUGGAGAUGGGCAGAAGCAAGAAAAACCAAGAAAGAGAGAAGGAAAAGGAGAAAAAGAAAAGGGAGAGAGAGAGAGAGAGAGAGAGAGAGAGAGAGAAGGAGAAGAAAAGGAAGCGGGUCUUCAAGCUUGGAUUCUCCAUUUCUUCAUUGAUUUAGAGAGGUAGGUGUAAGUAGGAUGAGUUAUCUUUUUGAGUUUAUGAAAAUUUUCUAAAAUUUAAGGUUUAGCAAAAUUAAUGAUUGUUGAUAUAUGUUUGAGGCAUUAAAAACAACAAUAAUAUUAGUGUUGAAAGGAAGGAAAUUGAAAUGGGUUUGUAAAUUAGAGUUCCAAUCUUUGAAUUAUUGUGUUUACACUUGAUUUAUGAUGAAUUAGAGUGGUAAAAAAAAAUUUAGGUUAGAUUUUGGUAUUUAUAAUAAAUUUUCGAGCAAAAUUCAUGUGCAGGUGCUAUUCAUGAAAUUCUGCCCAGAAAAGUGCCAUUUCUGUCAAUGGUUUUGAUGCCAGAUCUUAAUAUGCAGAAAUUGGUGCCAGGUUUCAAUUUUUUGGGAUUUUAGUGCUGUUUUUGACAAAACACUUAUUUUUCAGAUUUUUAAAGGCUUCAAUGAAGUUAUAUGAUAAGUAUUGAGGUUUAUGUAUUGGAAUAAAUUAUGUAUAGUGCUUGUAUAUGUAUAAGUUAAUGAUUUUAAGGAAGUGUGGGUAAUUUAAUAGAUUUGAUAAUACAUGGUGUUUAGUCGAUGAAUUAAUAAAGAGAAUAAAAGUUGGGGAUUGGAGAUGUAAGAGUAAAUAUAGAAGUUGAGGAGUUAAGUGGUGGAAUUGUAUUGAUUUAAAUAUGAAGUUUCAAUUUGAGUAAUUAUUAUACCGUUAUUUCAGGUAGUGACGUGAAAACUUGAAAAUACUUGUCAAUUUAGCCAGAUUUCUAUCCAUAAAUAUGUGAAUGGAAAAAAUAUAAAUAUUUUUAAAGUAUUUAUAAAUUAAGUAUAUUGUUAAAGUAUGUGCAAUUAUGUUCUCGAAUUAUAUGGUUAUUAUGAAAAUAUAUUUUAUUAUGAUACAUGUGAUAUUUUAAAGAUUGUAUACGGUACAUUGUGAAUUGGAAUAUGAGACAUGAUUUUGAAAUCGACCAAAAUAAUACCCGUGAUUAUAUAUUUCUUCUAGUUCACUGAGGAGUCUUGGCCAUGUUCUAUACAACACUGAAGGGUCUUGGACCGGGGAUGAAGGGGUCUCGACCGUAUACAUAGGGCUGCACAAAAAAAUCAUGAAACCGCAAAUCGAACCGAAACCGUUGAGUUGAAACCAUUGGUUCGGGUCCACAUGGACCCAUAGUUUCUUUUUCGUCAAACCGAACCAAACCGUUUCAAAAUAGUUUGAUUUAGGUUUUGAUUUUCAAAAACUGUACAAAUUGAACGGAACCCUUUUUAAAUUUUUUAAUUAAAACAUUAAUUUUAUUAACUUAAAAAUUUUAGGGUUUUUUCUAUUUCUUUUUAAAUAUCAAUUUAGUAAUACAAAUUAUAACCAACUUAUUGAAAUAAUCAUAAAAAGUAAAUUAUGUUCAUUAUUAUUGACCUAUGAUUUAACAGGUUCACAACAAAUGUCUUACCCGAUAUCUAAACUAAACUAAAAUUAUUCCAAAAUCAUAUGAAAUGAAGAAAAAACACAUAUUUUCACAAUCCAAAUCAUGAUUCAACAAAAUUACGUAAGUAAAUCACGUCCAAAACUUUAGAAGCCCUAACAUAAACUCUCAUUUUCCUAACAUUUGAUGCUUUUCUGCCACUGUUGAACGAUUACUAAUUGCAUUUGUCUGUUUUUGUUAGUCUACUAAUCUCUUCCCGAGUCGUCUCUUUCUCUCUUCUCGUCUUAGAUUCUUAUUCAAUCCAUUUUUCCAUUGUUCUUUCUUUUAUUUUAUUUUUUUGAACUUAUUAUACAUUUGUGAGUUCUGGUUUGGAUAGAAAAAUGAUUAUUCGUGUGCCUAGUUGAUUAAUGAACUUGUUUGUGAUUUGGAAAAAACAAAGGACGGAAUGUAUUGAUUAUAUGAAAAUGUUAAAGUUCCCUAACUAGUGUUAUUACCUUCUACUUUCAUAAAGUAGUUAGAUGAUAAAAUUCGUCAAUUUUCAAUAAGUCAAAAAUCUAUUAAUCUUUGUACAUCUAAAUAUAUCACGUUUAAUUCUUAUUUUACAUCUCACUAGCAAGACGAAAGGAAUUUUAACCAAACUAUAAUAACAAAAUGUAACUCUACCUUUACCAAUAGUUAUAUGACAAUGCGAAUGUCAAAUAAGAAAAGAUAAAUAAAAAUGAAGAAAGAUGUAUUUGUUCUAUUAACAUCUUUUAGAAAACAACUUUGAAAAUAAUUUAUUCACGGGUUUCAUAGUAAUUAUGAAUGUAAUUUAACAUUUAACAUAAUUAGUUAUUGUUUAAACUUAUAUUUAAUUUAUGUUAAAUACAUUACUAUAAUGUCGAAAAGUAAACCGCAGAUUAAAACCGAACCAAACCGCAAAUUAUGGUUUGGUUUGAUUUGAAAAAAUUUCAAACCGCAUAAAAUGGUUUGAGUUGAAGAUAUAGCACAAACCGCCCAAAUCGAACCGCGAUCACCCCUACGUGUACAUAUAGUUCACUGAGAGGUCUUGACCGUACUCUAGAAUUGAUUAUGAGAGGUAUUUGAGAUCAUCGUUCAUUCAUGGAGGGAGUCAAACGCCCGUGGUAAAAGUUCUUAGCCCGAGGGGUGGAUUACAUAUUUCAGUCAGAGGGUACAUUUUUGGUGAAUUUUUUAGCAUGCUUGAUGUGAUGAGAUUAUAGCGUGGUUAUCAGCUGAUAUUUAUAUCAUGAUUUUGAGAUGAUAUUUUACAACGUUAUGUGAAUGUUUCACUUUUGGUUAUAAUUACAUAAUGUUAUCUUGUGAAGUAUUAAAUGAUAUGAACUCGAUUUUUGAUAGAAAUGUAAAAUUGAAAAGGUAUAAUUAUUUUCGAACUUCUUCACUCACUGAACUAUCAACUCAUAUAUUUUCCCACGAUUUUUCCUACAGGUAGCAAUUGAUUCUUUUUAGCUGAAGAGCCUAAUGAUUUUGGAAUGAAAGCCACACAGUAUGUUGAAUAUUAUAACUCAUAUUGAUGAAAUAUGAAGUAAAUAUUUUGGGCCCAUCGCAUUAUGUUUUACAUAAGCAUUUGAUUUUGUUGUAUUUUUUUGAAGUAACUCAUAGUCAGCCUUGAUGAUAGAUUUGACAUCUAGUCAGCAUCUAUCUUCGGUGCACGUCUCGUCUCGGGUUCACUAAGGUGAUUCGGGAUGUGUUGUGUCAGAGUGGUAUCUAAGCAUGGUUUUGAAAAUUUUUAUGGUUUAUGCAUGCUCAGUGGGUAUGAUCACAUGUCGUGGUGAUAGAAAUCAUAAGCUCUCUAACUCGAAUGUAUGAAACCAAAAAUAAUAGAAAAAUAUUUUUUUAACUGAUUUAGAAGCGACUCGUAUGUAAGUAUGGUAGUUGUAAUGAUCUAAUGGUUGGAAAUGAUAUUAGUUGUUGGGUUGAAACUAUGUGUGUAUGUAACCUAUUAAGAUUUGAACAGAUUGUGAUGAUUUUGUAGGGCAUUUGAAGUUACAGAUAUUACAACCACUUAAUUAUCAAUUUAUUUGUAGAACUACAUGAUUUUUUUUAUGAGUACAUAGGAAAUUUUUUAGCUAUAGCUUGCACGAUAAAUACAAGGAAAUGAUAUGAUGUGUAAUCGGUGACAAUUAGUGGGGAAUUUUAAUUAUUCUUGAAGCCAAAUGGUUAUUAGUGUUAUCAAAUUUUGUGGUGAUUUAAGGCCACUUUAAUGGGAUGAUAAUAGAAAUCAUGAUGAUGUAUAUUUAUGCUAUAUGAUAAGGUGGAAGACAAAAUGAUAAUUUGUUGAUUGAUAGAAGACAAUGUGUUAUUGUGUACUUUAAGCAUCAAGGAAAUUAACGAUAAUUUCAAUUAUUUAUGAGUAGUUUGAUUACAAGGAAUGUUAGAAUAAUAGGGAUGAACUUCACAAUGUUUACCUAUUAGGGAGUGAUUUGUUUAUUUAAAAACAGAAUUAAUUGGAUAUGUGCAUUUAGGUAUGUUUAUGCGAAAAAAAAAAUUGAAAUUGAGAAUGGUAGAAUCGAAGUUUGUUGAGAUUGGGAAAUUAACAUGCGGUAUAUUGAUAUGUGAAAUGUUCAAGUGAUAAAUAUGAAGGUUAUCAUCUUGUGAUAUUAAGGGAAAUUUAUAUAAUUAAAUGUUUUAGGUCAUACAAUAUGACGAUAAAUGCUAAGGUUACAAGAUCAUAACAUGAUAUGGUGAAUAGCAUGAAAAUGAAUGUAAUGGUUGUCCUAUAGCAAAGUAAUAUGAUGAUUUAUUUGGGUUAUUUAAGUUAACGAAUUUUGUUAGGGCCAUUUGUUGAUUAUUGUGUUACAUUUCAUACAAUUUGGAAGCGUUGAGUUAAAUUUUGAAGUUAAGAUGAAUUUAUUGAAAUGUUAGUUAUGUAAAUUUUGGGCUAUUUUUAAUUGUAUUUUGGAUCAUGAACAAAGUAUUCAAUUUUUGUCAAAAUAAAUUUGUUAAGGAAUAUAAGUAAGACAUGUUAGCUAUGUCUAAAGUUUAAGAUGAUCAUCAAAUAUAGAUUUUACUCAUUGUGAAAUAGUAUCUUUUGGUUACAUUAUCUUAAUUAAAGGUCUUUAUGUGAUAUACAAAAAAGAUUAUGCAUUGACGAUAGAUCAACAAUCUAUUUAUGAAAUAAGAGUAUAGAUUUUCAUGGAUCAAAUGUUAUUAUUGUCUCUUUAUAAAAAGAAAGAACAAAAUUUGUAUGUGUAUAGAAAUGUCAAAAGUUUUGCUAUCAGGAAAUAUUGAAAAAAUAUUUGCUCUUAUAUUUAAAGAUGAUAAGCGAUUGAUUCACGAUAAUGAUUUAUGUUAUGGUUUAGAAAUUGUUUUCUAAGUGGAACGAUAAAAUAUGGAUUAUGUUGUAGAUUGAUAAAGAGAUAUAAUUAAAUCAUGAUAUAUGGUUGAUUAUAUUGGGAUUGACAUUUAGGAAUUGUGGCAUUAUCACAUGGUGGGAAGACCAAUACUUACGGACCACAUGAGUUUAAGGAAUAUUUAUAUUCAAAAAGGAGCUGAACUUAAAGCUAUGUAUAUAUUAUCGUUAGGUGAUAAAAUGAAAAGUUAAAAAUAUCACAUAUUUAUAUUAGGAUGAUAUUUAAGGUAUCGGUUCAACAUGUAUUUCAUAUGUUCGGUGGUUAGUAAAUGGACGUCAGAUUUAACUAAUGCUAUAAGAUCAUCAGUGGAGUUGGUUGAAAAUCUUACAUAUGAAGAAAAAUCAAUUCGGAUCUUGGAUAGGAAAUGAAUAGAUUUUGUGCAGAAAGUCUAUUCCACUAGUUAAAGUUUGUUUGGAAAAAAAAAAAAUAGAGGCUUCAUGGGGCAAGUAUUCAAAUAUAUGCUCUAUAUCUUUGUGUUCGAAUCCUAAUUGAUUGAAUUUCGAGGAUGAAAUUUUUUGAAGGGGGUAAGAUUGUUAUAACCCACUCACUCAUAGUCAAAGUCAAGAAAAUUAUUUAGUCAAAGUCUAAAAUUCAAUUGGUCAAAGUCAAUGUCAAAUAGGGACUUAAAUGAAAUAAAUUAUUUUAUUGGGGUUUAAUUUAUUAUGAAAAAUAGUUAAAGGUUUAAAAUGGAUAAAACUUAAUUUUAGGGAUCUACUUAUAUAUUAUUGGAAGUAAAGGACUAGAUGUUAUAUUAAAUUGAAGAAUAAGGACUUUCCAUGCAAAAAUGGGUUGUGGAGUACAUGUGGCAAGUAAUUAACCCAUUACUAUUUUCAUAUGAUAUAUACAUACAGAGAGGUAAGGCUGGAGAUGGGCAGAAGCAAGAAAAACCGAGAAAGAGAGAAGGAAAAGGGGGGAGAGAGAGAGAGAGAGAGAGAGAGAAGAAGAAGAAGAAGAAGAAGAAGAAGAAGAAGAAGUGGGUCUUCAAGCUUGGAUUCUCCAUUUCUUCAUUGAUUUAGAGAGGUGGGUGUAAGUAGGAUGAGUUAUCUUUUUGAGUUUAUGGAAAUUUUCUAAAAUUUAAGGUUUAGCAAAAUUAAUGAUUGUUGAUAUAUGUUUGAGACAUUAAAAACAACAAUAAUAUUAGUGUUUAAAGGAAGGAAAAGUGAAAUGGGUUUGUAAAUUAGAGUUCCAAUCUUUGAAUUAUUGUCUUUACACUUAAUUUAUGAUGAAUUAGAGUGGUAAAAAAAAAAAAAAAAAAAUUAGGUUAGAUUUUGGUAUUUAUAAUAAAUUAUCGAGCAAAAUUCAUGUGCAGGUGCUAUUCAUGAAAUUCUGCCCAGAGAAGUGUCAUUUCUGUCAAUGGUUUUGAUGCCAAAUUUCAAUAUGCAGAAAUUGGUGCCAGGUUUCAAUAUUUUGGGAUUUUAGUGCUGUUUUUGACAAAACUCUUAUUUUUCAGAUUUUUAAAGGCUUCAAUGAAGUUAUAUGACAAGUAUUGAGGUUCAUGUAUUGGAAUAAAUUAUGUAUAGGGCUUGUAUAUGUAUAAGUUAAUGAUUUUAAGGAAGUGUGGGUAAUUUAAUAGAUUUGAUAAUGCAUGGUGUUUAGUCGAUGAAUUAAUAAAGAGAAUAAAAGUUGGGGAUUGGAGAUGUAAGAGUAAAUAUAGAAGCUGAGGAGUUAAGUGGUGGAAUUGUAUUGAUUUAAUUGUUAAGUUUCAAUUUGAGUAAUUAUUAUUCCGUUAUUCAGGUAGUGACGUGAAAACUUGAAAAGACUCGUCAAUUUAGUCAGAUUUCUAUCCAUAAAUUUGUGAAUGGAAAAAAUAUAAAUAUUUUUAAAGUAUCUAUAAAUUAAGUAUAUUGUUAAAGUAUGUGCAAUUAUGUUCUCGAAUUAUAUGUUUAUUAUGGAAAUAUCUUUUAUUAUGAUAUAUGUGAGAUUUUAAAGAUUGUAUACGGUACAUUGUGAAUUGGAAUAUGAGACAUGAUUUUGAGAUCGAUCAAAAAAUUACCCGUGAUUAUAUAUUUCUUCUAGUUCACUAAAAGGUCUUGGCCGUGUUCUAUACUACAUCGAGGGGUCUUGAACCGAGGAUGAAGGGGUCUCGACCGUGUACAUAUAGUUCACUGAAGGGCCUUGACCGUGUUCUAAAAUUGAUUAUGAGAUGUCUUUGAAACCAGCUUUCUUUCACGGAGGGGGCCAAAGGCCCGUGGUGAAAGUUCUUAACCUGAGGGGCGGAUUACAUAUUUCAGUCAGAGGGUACAUUUUUGGUGGAUUUUUCAGUAUGUUUGAUGUGAUGAGAUUAUAGCGUGGUUAUCAGCUGAUAUUUAUAUCAUGAUUUUGAGAUGAUAUUUUACGACCUUAUGUGAAUAUUUCACCUUUGGUUAUAAUUACAUGAUGUUAUCUUGUGAAAUAUUAAAUGAUAUAAACUCGAUUUUCGAUAGAAAUGUAAAAUUGAAAAAGUAUAAUUAUUUUCGAACUUCUCCACUCACUGAACUAUCAACUCAUAUAUUUUUCCACGAUUUUUUCUACAGGUAGCAAUUGAUUCUUUUUAGCUGGAAGAGCCUAAUAAUUUCGGAAUGAGAGCCACACGGCAUGUUGAAUAUUAUAACUCAUAUUGAUGAAACAUGAAGUAAAUAUUUUGAGCCCAUCGCAUUAUAUUUUACAUAAGUAUUUUAUUUUGUUGCAUUUUUUGAAGUAACUCAUGUUAGCCUUGGUGAUAGAUUUGACAUCUAGUCAGCAUCUAUCAUCGGUGCACGUCUCAUCUCGGGUCCACUAGGGUGAUUCGGGACGGGUCAUGUCACUAAAGGACAGUAUUUAGAAAUGGAUCAUUGCAUGGAUCGUGAUAUCCCAUUUGCUGAAGAUUGGAUAAAAGUUAGAGAUAUUUGUAAACUUGUUCAAAAUGUAUAUGAUGUUGCUGAAGUUCUUUUCAAGACAAAACAUGAUAGUGCAGGCAUCUAUGUUCACAAAUUUCAAGAAUUACAAGCAAGUUUUAUAGAAGAAUCCAGAAAUUCAGAUAAAUUUGUUAGAAUCAUAGCUCGGAAGACGCUAAAGAAGUUUGAGAAGUACUGGAAGAACAUGUUCCUUGUACUAACCGUUGUUACGGUUUUGAAGCCUCAAUAUAAAAUUAAGUAUAUUGAAUUUUCUUCCUUGAAGUAUGAUACUAGUUCUAGUAUAUCAGAAGUGACAACCAUUUCAAAGUCCAUUCACUCACCUUAUGAUGAUUAUGUUACUAGCAAAACCAGAUAAGAAUAUACAUCAAAGAAAGAUGCAUACACCCAAAUGUUGGUUUUAAUUGUUGAGAUGAGUAUAACCAGUUUAUCCAAUCUAAUAGUCAAUCUCGAUCCCUAGGUAAGAGCUUGAAUGCUACUUGGAAGAACCUGUCGUGCCUUGGAGCAAAAAUUUCAGAGUGCUGUCAUGGUGGCAAUCUGUGAGCCCCAAAUAUCCUACCAUGUCCAAAAUGGCUCGUGAAUCUCUGCACAUAAAAUGUUGAUAUUUCAUGUCCAAAAGAACAAAAGAUCCAAAGAUUAUUGAGCCAAUGCAUGGAGGAAAUGUUGAUAUUCCAUGUCCAAAAGAACAAAAGAUUCAAAAAUUAUUGAGCCAAUGGAUGGACGAAGAAUGGUUGGGGAAAAAUGAGGAGUAAUUUUGGGACGGAGAAUACAUUAUUAUUAUUAUUAUUAUUAUUAUUAUUAUUAUUAUUAUUAUUAUUAUUAUUAUUUUCAUUUUUAGUUCUUUUUGGGGUUAAGACUAUAAUUGUAAAUUUGUUAUGGCAUUUUUAUUGGAAACGUGUUAUUAUUGUGGUGGUGUUAUAAUGUGUGUAGCAAGUAAAAUUUGUGGUGGCAAUAUAAUUACCCUAAUGUUAAUUGUUACUUUUGAUCCCAUCUUUUUAAUCUUUUUCAAACAAGCAUUUGCCUAAUUUUUUUAAUUAAUUAGACAAAUAGUCAAGUUGAAUAUGGUCUUUACUAUUAAAAAAAUGUAAAUAAACAAUAAUUAUUUUUCAUAAGACUAAAUUCUCCAACUCAUAAAAGGAAUGGCAAUACGACAGGUGAUUUUCCUUGUCUUUUGUCGCGUUGGAUAUUCUUGGGUAGAGGAUAGGAAAUUAGGAAUAGGGAAUUUGCUACUCUAUUUACUCAAUUUUCUAAUAUCAAAUUUCAAAUAUGAUUUAAGUUUAAAAAUAUACAUAUACAUAUAAAACUAAGAGUCUGAACAAGUAUGAAGUGAGUAAAAUGUUCUCAGUCCCUAUAUCGAUUUUCUAUUCGGUGGGACGUAACAAGACAUUUGCUGUCUUUGCCUAUAAAGAGCUUUUUAUAUUCUAAAAAAAAAAGUCAUUUCCUCAUUGACAUUUAAAAGUAAAUAAGAUUAUUCAUAGUUGCUUACUAUUAGUAAUUGCUUUACGUGAAAGUUUGUUAUUUGAGACAUUAAUUUUCUAUAAUUUUAUUUCGUAAAACCAACCUUUCAUUCUUUAGCAGAGCUCUCUCUCUCCACCAUUUCAUUCAAUUUGAUAAUAAACUCAUCCUUGGAGGGGGUUAAAAUUAAAUUUUUAGUUUAAUUUUGAUAAAAAUUGAUGUUUUGAGCUCAUUUUCAUCUUAUUUAUGGACAAUUUUUAAACGUUGCACAGUACAAAACCUUUAUCGUGGGGGAUCUAUACCCUAGGCUGGCAGCUUUGUUUCUUUAUUUCUUAUUUCUGAUACCCAAUUGACGAUGAUUAGUUAAAGUGAACUUGGAAAAGUAAAGAAACAAUGCAUGGCUUUUGUUUGGAGCAAUUCGCGUUCACAUUUCAAGAUAGGGGUAAAAUUGGAAGUUGGCCAUAUAUAUGCAUAACACCAUUUGGACUAGCUUUCACAUGGUGGGCCACGUGAUGUGAUAGAAGAAUGCAUUUUUUUCACAAUAAUGGCGUCCAAACGUUAGCUUUCACAUGGUGGGCCACGUGAUGUGAUAGAAGAAUGCAUUUUAAUGAUGCCCACACGUCAAUAAUGGCGCCCAAACGUCCAUUAUUGUAGAAAAAAAUGGAUUCUUCUAUCACAUCACAUGGUCCACCAUGUGAAAGCUAACGUUUGGGCGCCAUUAUUGUGGAAAAAAUGCACGUUUGGGUGCCAUUAUUGUGGAAAAAAUGCAUUCUUCUAUCACAUCAUGUGGCCCACCAUGUGAAAGCUAGUCUAAAUGGUGUUAUGCAUAUAUAUGGUCAACUUCCAAGUUUAAAAAAAGGUUAAACCUCAACCUUGAGGGGCUUCACUGCCUCGCCCUUGGAGUAUCGUGAGGAAGGUAAAUUGCGGGAUGUGCCCCAACAGGUCAGGGAACAAGAGCUUGUCCGUACACUGGUGCUCACAAGGAAUCCGAUUCCACAUAUCAGGAAUCGACCCCUUACACUGCGGCUGCCAACAAAGUUGAGACUAUCUCACUUCUAUCUUUUGCACCACUGAGUUAUGCCCCGGGGGCGUCAACUUCCAAGUUUACCCCUAUCUUGAAAUGUGAACACGUAUUGUUCCAAACAAAAGCUAUGCAUUUUUUACUUUUCCAAUGAACCAAGUUUCCAUUAUUGAGGAUAGAGUGUUGUAAAGCUCAUAUAAAGCAAAUGUCGAUAAGAGGGAAUUAAAAUUUUAGAGGGUAUUUGGUGGGGAUAAAAAUUAGAUUUUUUAGUAGAUUGUGAUAGAAGUUGUUAAAAUGUGUAGUUGAAAAUUUGUGGAACCUAUAAAAGAUGUGAUUAGUGUUGAUUGUUUGACUUUAACUUAGAUUAAAAUCAGAUUUUAAUCCAAAUCAAAUAGUCUGUUAAAUCCUUGUCAAAGUCAAAGUCAAUAAUUCAUUUAAAUCACGUAUUUUAAGACAUUCAUAAGUUUUUAAUCAUAUACUGUAUCAAUUUUUAUCAAAAUUUAUUAAAAAUUUAAUUUUAACUUGUAACAUCACAUUUCUCUUUUCCUAAUUUUUGCGAAUAUGAUAUUGCCUAAUGAUAUAUUUAAUGCUUAUUAUUAAUUUAUUGUCAAUGAGACUACUAAUAUAUUGUAGUGGAUUAUACCUUGAACGUCCUAGGUGAUUGACAUGACAAUUAAAGUUAAUUAUAUGAAAAUCUAGGAAAGGAAAGCAAAUGUAAAUAGAUGAAGAAAGAGGACUAGUAAUUAUUGAGGAGAGUGUGCUAUACAGCUCAUAUAAAGCAAAUGUCAGUAAUGGGGAAUUAAAAUUUAAAUAUUUACCAAAGUCGGAGUCAAUAAUUGAUUUAAAUCAAGUACUUUAUGAUAUUCAUAACUUUUCAAAUAUGUUAUUGAGUUGUGAAUAUCACAGAAGAAUGCAUUUUUGGAAAAAGUUUUGUCUGAUUUGAUGAGCUUUUUUGAAGGAAAAUGAUAACUUUUUUACAAGGAGUAGAAGUCUUGUCAAACCGGCGUUAAGUAUAAGAUCUACUAAUUAAGUUGAGUGAGGAUUAGUUUGUUCUACUCAAAUGUGCUUUUUACAAUAAAAAAUGAACCAAAGUAGAUCAAGAUAAAUUGAUCUAUAAACAGCUUCUCUAAUCUUAAAAAAAUCGAGUCAUUUUUACAUUGACAUUCAGUGCUUGUUUGGGAAAGUUAAACAGUUGAUUUUGUUAAAAGAAGUGGAAGAUCUUUUGAAAUUAGUGGUGGAAAAGCGAGUAAUACUAGUGGAUUUUAUGUAAUGUAAGAUUAAUAUAAAGGGUGGUUAUAUUAUCACCACAAUAAGUGUUUGGUACCCUAUAAUUUUCUUAUUUAUUUUAAAAAAUUACUAGUAAAAUGACAUAAGUACCCUAUCUUUUAUUCACUAAUAUAUUUAUUCAUACGAUCACUACCAUCCGUACACAAAAAAUACAUAACUCUACUUAAAGAUACAAAUGCCAAGAUCAAAAGAUCCAAGACUCACUAAUAUAUUUAUUCAUACGAUCACUACCAUCAGUACACAAAAAAUACAUAACUCCUACUUAAAGAUACAAAUGCCAAGAUCAAAAGAUCCAAGAUUGAAGAAAAGAACAAGAAAUUUUAGGAUAUGACAUAGGCAUUUUGGAAUAUUGAAUGUAUUAUUUUAAAAGUUCGCUAUAUUCUUCUUGGAAACUCGUCGUUAUUGUGGAAUAUGCCAUUAUACAACCUGCAAAAGGUAUUGGAUUUGGAGGCUAAAGGACGGUAUUUAGAAAUGGAUCAAUGCAAGGAUCGUGAUAUCUCAUUUGCUGAAGACUGGAAAAAAGUAAGAGAUAUUUGUAAACUUGUCCAAAAUGUAUAUGAUGUUGCUGAUUUUUUUUCGAGACAAAACAUGCUAGUGCGGGCAUCUAUGUUCAUAAAUUUCAAGAAUUACAAGCAAGUUUGAUAGAAGAAUCUAGAAAUUCAGAUAAAUUUGUUAGAAUCAUAGCUCGGAGGACGCUAAAGAAGUUUGAGAAGUACUGGAAGAACAUGUUCCUUGUACUAACCGUUGUUACAGUUUUGGAUCCGCAAUAUAAAAUGAAGUAUAUUGAAUUUUCUUCCUUGAAGUAUGAUACUAGUUAUAGUAUCUCGGAAGUGACAGCCAUUUCAAAGUCCAUUCACUAGCCUUAUGAUGAUUAUGUUACUAGUAAAACUAGAGAAGAAUAUUCUAUGAGUGAUUCGAAUUCUGAGUUUGAAGAAGAGAUUCCUACAAACAUCAAAGAAAGAUGCCAACUCCCAAACUUUGGUUUUAAUUGCUUAGAUGAGUAUAAACAGUUUAUCCAAUCUGAUAGUCGAUCUCGACCAUUAGAUAAAAGCUUGAAUGCUACUUGGAAGAACCUGUCGUGCCUUGGAGCAAAAAUUUCAGCGUGCUAUCUUGAUGGCAAUAUGUGAGCCCCAAAUAUCCUACCUUGUCCAAAAUGGCUCGUGGAUCUUUGCACAUAAAAUGUUGAUAUUUCAUGUCCAAAAAAUAAUUGAGCCAAUGGAUGAAGGAAAUUGAUGAGGAAGAAUGGAUGGGGGAAAAUGAGGAGUAAUUUUGGGAAGGAGAGUACAUUGUUAUUAUUAUUAUUUUUUUUUUUUUUCAUUUUCAGUUUUUAUUGGGUUAAGGCUAUAAUUAUAAAUUUGUUAUGGUAUUUUUAUUAGAAACAUGUUGUUUUGAUGUGUGUAGCAAGUAAAAUUUGUGGUGGCAAUAGAAUUGCCUUAGCAUUAAUUGUUACUUUUGAUCCCGACUUUUUAAUCUUUUUCAAACAAGCAUUUGCUCAAUUUUUUGAAGAACUAGACAAAUAGUCAAGUUGAAUAUGGUCUUUACAAUUGAAAAAAUGUAAAUAAAUAAUAAUUAUUUUUAUAAGAUUAAAUUCUCCAACUCAUAAAAUGAUUUCAAUACGGCAGGCGGUUUUCAUUGUCUUUUGUCGCGUUGAAUUUUCUUUGGUAGAGGGUAGGAAAUUAGGAAUAGGGAAUUCGUUACUCUAUUUACCCAAUUUUCUAAUAUAAUUUUUAAAUACAAUUAAAGUUUAAAAACAUAUAUAUGCAUAUAAAAAUAAAAGCCUGAACAAGUAUGAAGUAAUAACUUGUUCUCAAUUCCUAUAUCGAUUUUCUAUUCGCAUGGAACAAAACAUUUGCUGUCUUUGCCCAUAAAGAGCUUUAUACUCUAAAAAAAAUCUCAUUUCCACAUUGACAUUUAAAAGUAAAUAAUAUUAUUCAUAGUUGUUCACUAUCAAUUAAUUUUCUAUAAUUUUAUUUCUUAAAACCAACAGUUCAUUCUUUAGCAAAGUUUUUUCUCUUUCGACCAUUUCAUGCAAUUUGACAAUAAACUCAUACUUGGAGGGGUUAAAAUUAAUUUUUUUUAGCAAAUUUUGGUAAAAAUGGACUUUUGGAGCUCACUUUCAUCUUAUUUAUAGACAACUUUUGACAUUGCACAGUACAAAACUCUUUCUUUAUUCCUGCUCGACACUAAAUUGAGAAAAAAAAAUACAAUACUUUUGUUAGAGAUGCUACUGUGACGGUGACAGUGACAGUGGCCAAUUUGACGCCCUCCUAUGGCCCUCGGCCAGAAUUAUUCUUACAGCGUUUGUGAUAGAAUUCACUUUUUCCACAAUAAUUCGCCUGACAUAAUAUUAAUAUGUUAUUAAAAAGUAUAAAAUAUCAUAAAAAAAUUUAGGCCCUGUUUAUGGUCUUUUUUUAAUUUAAAAAAUUAAAUUAUAGAAUAGUGAUUGAUGUUGAAAUGUGUGGUUAAAAAAAAGAAAUUUUUUUUAACUUUUGAGUAAUACUAUUUUAAUAAAAAAUGUGUGAUUAAAAAUAAGUAAAAAAUAUAAUAUGAUAAAAUAUGAAAGAAUAAUUGACAAACAAUGGCUUAAUCGAACAUUUGCUUUAUAUGAGCAGUACAACACACAUCUCAAUAAUUACUAGUCUUCUUCUUCAUACGUUUGCAUUUCCUUCCCUUUUCUGGGUUUUCAUUUGAUUUUCAGAUCUACAACCUCCAUUUCCAUGGCUUCAAAGCUAUGAGCUAAUCUAAAUUUUCUGUUUUUGCUUCAGUGGUAGCGUCUAUUAUGCUUUGAACAAAAAAUUUAGAGGGUAGACAACGUUCACUUUCACCAUCUUUCUCUUUCCCUGAAAUUCGACCAUCUUUUCCUUUUUUUGCAAUGGAUGUCUUACACACUGAUCUGUUUACUGCUCCUAUAGAUCUCCUUCAAAUUGUGAUCGAACACAUAUCAUCUGUCUCCUCCCCAGAUGGACAUAGAAUUGAUUUGUUACGUCUGCUUCAAUCUUUACGAGACAGCAGAGACUAUGAAAAUAUUGAAGGAAUCAGAAAUUUUUUCCGAGAAUUUGUGUCGCUUCAGCAAGAGCUUAAGGUGUCCUUUACAGUUCCUAACCGGCAAAUCUUGUCCAAUUUAACUCCUACUCCCAAUUCUAAUGAAGUUGUUGCGGCCUUCAUCAACUUUCUCCUCCUAAUGGUCCAAGUCAUCCUACAUUUUAAGGAAGAUUGGAUUGCUCGUGUAAAGGGUUCGUUCCAAAAUCUCCGGACAGAGCUUGGAUUUCUUAUCAGCUUUCUUGGGGAUACAACAAUGCAUUUGCAGCCCACCAAGACUCUAUUGAUAGAUGUUGAAGAAGUGGUCAACGGGGUAGGAAGUUUCUUGUCUUCCUUCUUUUUGACCAUUGUUGUAUUUAUUCUGAUCAAUAAAGUGAAAAAAGCCCAUACUAGAAUGCCGGAUUUGGGAGUUGUGGUUAAUGAGGUAAGAAGUCUCAUUCUUGAGGAUAUACCAUUGCUAACCACUAAGUUGAAAGCAACGAUAGAUAUUAAAGACCUGCUCCGUGAGAUAGGAAGUUUAUUAGAUUUCUUCAUUUUCACAAAGAAUGAUCAAGUUGUGGAGACAGGAAUCUUGGAUCUUGCUCUUUCUGAUUUGUUAGCAAAUUUUGAGACCUUGAAAACAAAGAUCAAGGAGCACUGCAUCGCAGUCUCAAAGAUGCCAAGUGAUAUGGCUCCAAAGACUGGUGUGGUUUCACUCUUCAUUGUUGAUUCCGUCCUCGACGAUCUCAUGGAUCUGAUAAAUAACAAGUCUGACUCAAUUGUUGUUGUGAAUGAUCAAAUUGUAACGCUCCACGAGGAGCUAAUGUUAUUGGGAUCAUCCAUCACAGAUAUAGCAUUGCAGCACGAAGCAGAACAUGAAGAACUUGUGAUACGGAGCAGAGACAUAGCAUAUGAAAUUGAAUAUGUUAUCAACUCAUUACCUCAUGUUUGGUAUCUUUCUCUCCGACUCCCUCAACUCAUUGUCAAGAUUCGGCUUAUUAUGAUAGCUGUCAAAGAAACGAAGAACAAUGUUGAUGUAGUUAGAAUGUCAAUUGUUUCAAAACAUCCGCAUGAGCUGGUAGAGUCAGAGUCAAAAGAACCUCCCAUUUUGGAAGACGUUGUUGUGGGAUUUGACAAUGUACAAACUGAAAUUGUAGAACAACUUGUUCGAGGAACAGACAAGCGACAAAUUAUUUCCAUCUUUGGGAUGCCUGGACUUGGUAAGACGACCUUGGCAACUAAAUUAUAUAAUCAUCACCAUGUUUUAUACCGUUUUCACAAUCGUGCCUGGUGUACUGUUUCUCAAAUAUAUAAUAAGAAAAAUGUGUUGAUUGAAAUUUUGAGCUCAAUGAGUAACAGUAAGGGGGAUACAUACAUGGAAGAGGAGGAAGAAAGCUUGGUUGAAGAUCUUUACAAAAACUUAAAAGGAAGGCGAUACCCCUUUAGUAACAGUAAGAGGGAUACAUACAUGGAAAAGAAGGAAGAAAACUUGGUUGAAGAUCUUUACAAAAACUUAAAAGGAAGGCGAUACCUCAUUGUGGUAGAUGAUAUAUGGGAUAUCGAUGUGUGGAAUGAUUUGAAAAGAUGUUUUCCAGAUGACAGUAUUGGAAGCAGAAUCUUAUUCACUACUCGAAUUAAAGAAGUGGGUUCGAAAGCUUCACCUUGUAGUGUAAAG